GCGGAUUCGGCGUUCUUAAAGUUCGGGAGUCAACAUAUUCCUCGUCUACUAUCACUCGAGGUGGGGGUGCACACCGGAAUCAUCGGAUUCCCCUUUAUGUCUAUUUCAACUUUUAUUGAGCAUAUGGUUGUAUAGUCAUUCUUGCAUAGUAGGGUUAAAUUGUAAGGUACCGGACUUCUAAAACUAUGAAGUUACGGUGUACAUUUAAAUGGUUCCGGUGAGGUUGCGGUGGAAUGUAACAUACCGGAUUUUAAGUAUAAAGGUGAAAAUAAAUAAAAAUAGUAUGAGAUACUAUUUUAUUGGGUUUAGGGAAGUGAAAUAUAGAUUGAAAAUGACCUGUACUGAAAUCAGAGCGAAAACAGAAGAUUUAGAAUUUUCUGUAAGAAACGGGGCAAAUAAAUUAGCAGAAAAUGCACAGUGUCAGAAAAUUAUGAAAACUGAAGGAUAUGUCAAAAAUAUUUUUAUGGGGCUAGAUUUAAAGUUUCAUACCAUUCUGACACCCGUAGAGUGAGAAAUAAAAUCCGACAGUCAUCUGAUAAAGAUUACAGUUCGGUACAGUUUUCGGUGACUAAACGGGGUCGAAACUGAAAACGUAAGAUAUAUUCUUACUCAGUACGUUAAACCAAGCCUGCCUGUCAAAUUUGAGCGCAAACGGACGUUCAGAAGGGUUCUAACUGUUCCGAACUGCUAAACUACUGUCCGAGGUGAAUAAUGUAAUUGUUGAGGGACUGAAUUGUAAAAGGGACUUAAUCCCUUCUUCUCCUCCCUCAACCGUGCGUACACAACCUGCACACACACACACACACAACACACGCAUGGAAAGGAAAAGAGAAAACUCUCCCUUUCUCUCUCUAAAUCUCUCCCAAAAUUGAUGAAUUUGGUGGAGAAGCAAGCUUGGAAGCUGAUCUUCAUCUCUUUCACCUUCUUCCUCUCCAUUGGAGCUUGCUUGAGAGGUAAGCUUCAAACCCCUUUAAUGGUAGAUCUUUAGAGCUUUAUUUAGAUGCUCUAGAAAUGGGUUUGAUGGAAUCCUAGGAUGUUAAAUGAGUGUUUAUUGCAUGAUUUAAGUUCCAAUUUGGAGCAUCUUGUAAUAGUAAACACCUAGGGCUCAAAAAUGCUAGUUUGGUAAAUAUGAGGGUUUGAUCUCAUUUGACCCUCUGUAAACAUAAUUGCUAGGUAAACGAACGCGCUGGCGAAGACGGUUCGGCGAUUCGUCGAGCCGGUGCGAAGUUAUUAAAGAAACGAACGUUUAGGCGUCGUUUUCGCCUGGAGGGCCGAGGCGACGUCGUAAAAUCAUGGAAUUGGAUUUGAGGCACCAUAACAAUAAAACGAAGACCCUUUUUGCCCGAGGCUGCGAAGCGAUGCGCGGUUGGUGCGCAAUUGCAAGUUCCGGCAGAACCGAGCACCGGAUGCCGCGGGAGGCCGAUUGCAAGUGUCGACAAGCAAUCGGAAUGUACUAACAGGUGGGUUGUGUUUACCGAAGCGACUAGGUCGCCUUCAUGUCGAAGAAAAAUAUGAUUUCCUAGUUGAUGCAUAUAAUGGGUUGAAUGCUAUAUGAUGCAUAUGAUGUGAAGAUUGGGUAAAUGCAUAUAAUGUGAGAAACGUAUAUUGCAUGAUAAUUACAUAUGAAUAUAAUGCAUGCUAGUUGAUGAUGACAAAUUAAUAUGUUGAAUGUUAGAUGAAAGCAUGAACUAAAUGUUAGAGAGAUGCAUGAACUAAAUAUUAGAGAGAUGCAUGAAAAUGAUAUUGUAUGAAUGCAUAGGCCAUAUUAUGCAAGUUGGAACAUAUGCAUGUUAAUGUAUUUGUGGACUAUGUUGAGUAACAUAUGCUAAUUAACAUAUGCAUGUUGACUUGGGUCUAAAACUCUUGAAUGAUUAGAAAACUCGACAUUAGAAAUACAAAUGUAGUAUUAAUAUCAUGAUAUGGUUUGAAUUCCUACAAUGGGAUGAUAAAUGUGGAUAAGACCUAGGUAAAUGACAACCUAGAGAUUGUGUACAAGUAGAGCAUUGAGAACAUUUACAUGAUGACGAGUGGCAUAUAGUUAAUGUAAACACGAAGACGAGUGGCAUAUAGUUAAUGUAAACACGAAGACGAGUGGCAUAUGAGAACCUUAGUGUAGCUGAAACACUAGAUUGAUGAGUAUAGAAACUUAUUGGUUCUAUGUUGAUGCUAUCCUUAGUUGAUAGGAUGUUCUCAGUUUAUGUGGAUUUGGAUCGAGCUCACCUAGCCUGUCUGCGCCUGGUGUGGUCGCCCCACACAGGUAGUGCACUCCAGAGUUGUCACCCGAGGAGGGUUAACGUAUUUACCCUUGGACUAACGUAUCUGUCCGCAGGUGGUUUCGGGGGUAGUUGAGCCCGGGCUCCUCCCCUAUGAAACUUACUUACGUGAGAUUUGAUGCGAGCCUUGAGUUCGCCGAGAGAUUGGGUAACAAAUUAUGAGCUAUAGUGAUUGUCCUACUUGAGGGGAUUUAAGGCCGAGGUGUAAGUGAGACGUCCUUCGCCUCGAGUCUGGUUUUGUGCGGUACUCUGCAGACGAUUGACUCAAGACCGAGUCGGGCGGUUAGGUUUGUAAAGGUAGAUGAAACUUUAUGACAAAAACGGUAAAGGAUAGUGUCACGCCCCGCGACCAACCGCUAAUUUGGACCGGGUCGCGGCGCCGCUAACAGACCGCCGAACGGAUCGGGGUUUCCCCUGUACGCGGACAGAGUCUCCCCCGUACGUUCUAGGCGUCGCAAUCCAAACAAGAUACAUAAUGCCGAAACCCGAGUAAACUCCGUUAAUAAGGUACAUAGGUGGUCUCUAUACAUAGUACAAAACGUCUCUCAAAAACACAAAAAGAGAGUAACCACCUAGGAGCAAAAGCGAGCUCCGCUAUCUAUCAAGCUAGGCGACUCCCUUGCCGCGAUCCCGUGCCUCCGCCGGUGCCGAAGGCUCUGAAAAAAAAACCACAAAACAGGGGGCGUGAGAACUAUUGAAUAAUAGUUCCCAGUAGGCAAUUACUGGCUUCAGUGAAAUGCACCGCUAGGCCCAAACUAAAAAGGGGUCAGUAAGCAAAUAUAAACAAAAGCGAUAUGUACGACAAGUAAAUAAGCAUGAAUAUUUGCUAUCAUAUGAUAUCUCUACUUAGCAUGAUUUAGCAUAAGUAAGAAAAGCUAUUCUCGCAUGAAUGUACCCAAGCAUCGCUAAUAUGAUGUCCAUAAGUCAAAUAGUAAAGAUGUCAUUGCUUACUAUUCUAGUCAACGUCAACAUGGCAUGAUGAAUGCUCAAAGUCAAAUCUGAAGAGACCCACUCGAAGGCUGUCUAAGGCCCUGAGACCCACCCGUAGGCUGUGUAACAUAUCACAUCCCUCGUAAAUCAUGCCGAGUUUCGUCGAAAUAUGCGCAAUGCGGAGUGGAACAAGUUGGUAUGGGCUAGUAGUGCUUUGGAGCCCAUAUAUAGUGCAAAGGGACCCGAGAGAGUGAAAUUUCAAAAUCUGGCUAAGUCCCAGAUUUUGUGCUCUCGGGGACCGGUUCCUGAAGGAGAGACUGGUCUCCGUACGCGUAGCCUGCCAGGAAUCCUGAGGCAACCGGUCCCUGAGGAACCGGUCCCUAAAGGAGAGACCGGUCCCUCGUUGCGCAGUCAGCCAAAAACCCCGAAAAUUGGCUAAGUCCUGGAAAACAGCCUUUCAAGAACAGGUCCCUGGUCGGGGAGACCGGUCCCCCACUGCGAAAAUUGCCCAGUAAGGGCUGAUGCAGAAAUAGAAAGUUGAGGGGCCUUGUUGCUAUUGUUGCAACAUGUUAUAUACCCUAUACUCUCUCCCUUUCACAGCCAACUCUACCUCUCUUUCUCUCAUUUUUUCUUUUCUCUCUCUAGAGAUCAUCCCCUAGAGCUUGGAGAAGAAGGAGAAGAAGCAAGGAGAAGUGGGUUUUGGAGGCUUUGGUGGAUCUAAGAGCUCUCCUACAAGAAGGAUCUUGGGAGGAGCUUGGGCCAAGGUGAGUUUGAGCAAGUAGAACUCUAGGGUUUGGUUUUAAACCCUAAGAUUUGGAGUUUUGAGUUUGUUUCAAGCUUUAGAAACCUUGUAGAGCUCAAGACACCAUGAAACCAUGGUUUCUUGACGUGCUCCCAUGGUGAACCCCUAGGGUUCAUGCUAGAUGCCAUAGGAAUGUGUAGAAUGGCUUUGUAAAGGUAUUAGAGAGCUUCCUAGGUGAUUCUAAGCAAUCUUUUGCUUAGAAAUGAGAUCAAUUUAGGAGAAAUCUCAUUGUGACAUUGUUAGGGCUCAAAUUUGGGGCUUUUGCCCUAGGAUUUUUCGAGGACAAAUUGACCUCGUAGAAACCUAAUUGGGGGUGUCCUCGACGCAGGGGACAACUCCGUUGGACGUUACGAAAAUAUUUGAGUAUAGUUCCUGUAUAUAGGGUCUAAUAUGGCACUAUUUUGGCUAUAGGACGCGGAUUCGGUGUUUUUAAAGUUCGGGAGUCGACAUAUUCCUCGUCUACCACCACUCGAGGUGGGGGUGCACACCGGAACCAUCGGAUUCUCCUUUAUGUCUAUUUCAAUUUUUAUUGAGCAUAUGGUUGUAUAUUCAUUCAUGCAUAGUAGGGUUAAAUUGUAAGGUACCGGACUUCUAAAACUAUGAAGUUACGGUGUACAUUUAAAUGGUUCCGGUGAGGUUGCGUUGGAAUGUAACAUACCGGAUUUUAAGUCUAAAGGUGAAAAUAAAUAAAAAUAGUAUGAAAUACUAUUUUAUUGGGUUUAGAGAAGUGAAAUAUAGAUUGAAAAUGACCUGUACUGAAAUCGGAGCGAAAACAGAAGAUUUAGAAUUUUCUGUAAGAAACGGGGCAAAUAAAUUAGCAGAAAAUGCACAGUGUCAGAAAAUUAUAAAAACUGAAGGAUAUGUCAAAAAAUAUUUUUAUGAGGUUAGAUUUAAAGUUUCAUAACAUUCUGACACCCGUAGAGUGAGAAAUAAAAUCCGACAGUCAUCUGAUAAAGAUUACAAUUCGGUACAGUUUUCGGUGACUAAACGGGGUCGAAACUGAAAACUUAAGAUAUAUUCUUACUCAGUACAUUAAACCGAGCCUGCCUGUCAAAUUUGAGCGCAAACGGACGUUCAGAAGGGUUCCAACUGUUCCGAACUGCUAAACUGCUGUCCGAGGUGAAUAGUGUAAUUGUUGAGGGACUAAAUCGUAAAAAGGACUUAAUCCCUUCUUCUCCUCCCUCAACCGUGCGUACACAACCUGCACACACACACACACAACACACGUAUGGAAAGGAAAAGAGAAAACUCUCCCUUUCUCUCUCUAAAUCUCUCCCAAAAUUGAUGAAUUUGGUGGAGAAGCAAGCUUGGAAGCUGAUCUUCAUCUCCUUCACCUUCUUCCUCUCCAUUGGAGCUUGCUUCAGAGGUAAGCUUCAAACCCCUCAAUUUUUCACCUCUUACACAGCCCUCACUGGGCAUUCUGCGCGCUAAGGGACCGGUCUCCCCGACCUGGGACCGGUCCCCGGGGCCUCCCCCCGCGGACACGCGUUCGGGAACCGGUCCCUCCCCGAGAGACCGGUUCCCGGGAGACCGGUUCCUCUCAGAGAGACCGGUUCCCGAGAGCUGAACCUUUGGGACUUAGCCGAUUUUCGGCUCUUCUCACUGGUGUUGCAGGCUGGGACCGGUCCCUCCUCUGCCAGGGACCGGUUGCAUCAGCAACCCUACAGCCUUCAGUUGAUGGGACUGGUCUCUCACCUCGAGAGACUGGUCCCCGAGAGCAAUCCCAGCCCAAAAUGCAGAUUGCAUUAUUUGCUCUCGCGGACUCCAUUCCAAUGCACUUCUCGGUUUUCGUGCAUCCUUAGGUUUUCCAAAGCUUAUCCAUUCGACCCUUAGUCGAUUCUAGACGAGGUGCAACCCUUGGAUUUCGAGAGUUUACAUCGUUACAUUCUCCCCUCCUUAAAAGAGUUUCGUCCUCGAAACUCACUCAUUCUCACCCUCUUUUAUUCCUCGGUCCACUCCUCGAGUACUCAAGGGUUCCAAUGCACUUUUGUACUUUGGAGUGGCCUUUAUUCUCAUCGAACUCAUCUAAAGGCCCACGACGAAGAAUGUGAGACCACGUUUACUCACAUUUUCCUCUUGCAACAUUAAAAGUGCAUUAUCACUCUGCAAACCUCAAUGGCGGUGUGAGUCAAUACUUAAGACCCCACACGCUAACAUCACUAGCCACUCGGCUAGAGAAGGACCUAUUCCCUCGCGGUUCUAGCGAACAUCAUCACCGUUCGAGAUCAGGGCUACCCUUUCAUCCCUGUCACGCCCCGGGACCCGGCCUAGGCCCGCCCGGUGCGUAUCCAGACCCGCCAUAUGCCUACACAUAUAAGGCGUCUACAACAAUAGCGAAUAAAUGAACAACAAAUAGAGUGUAUCUAAAGAUAUCAGAGCAAGUAUACAGCUAAGUUCUUAAGCUUGUUGAACAAUCAGGUGGGAGAAUACAAGGAAAAACUUCAAUUAACCAUACCUAUAGUCGGCAAAACGAGGGUGUGUUUAAAAUAAAAUACUAUCGACAAGUCUAAGCUACAUAUAAGGGGGGUCUCUACAAAAAUGGUACAAGUCUCAAUCCUGCUCCAAACUAUCAAUCGCUGAAUAGGAGAGGUUACCUACCAUCGAGCUCGUAAUAUCCUCGCCUAGCUAACUCGGUGAAAAAGAAUGACCGUUUGCACGAGAUCGCCAUUCUCUCCAUAUUUCCUGCCCCGUCUGGUUGGAUCCCGAGCCAUCUUCUGCCUCUGGGUGAAAAUGGGAGAGGCUGAUCUGAAAUGGAAAACGAGUGGAACAAUCAGUGGAGGGCCUGGGAGCAACUAUAAUUUAUAGUUCCAGGGGUGGGGACAAUGUAAUCUGUAGCAUUAGCUAAAAUGCGAAUCCACUAGGGCACUAGAUCAAGAGGACAACCAGUGAGCAGAUAUAGAAAAAUUGAAAUACAAACUGCCAGAAAUAAAAGCACAUAUUAAAGAAAAUGGUCUAUACUGCGAUGCCACAAGUAUUAUGUGAUAAGAACAUGGUUAGCUUACUUUACUUCUAUCAUCCAUAUACGCAAUACAUACAUACUAUGUUCUAUCACGGCUAACCAAAGUAUGCUAUGAUGCAACAAGUAACAAUAGUUAGUCAUCGGUUCCUUCCUUGAUGCUUUAUACAUGUCCAAAUGUGUCAAUACUAUUGCUUGAAAAGUGCAUGUCUCAAGUAAACAACUACUAAGCCUAUCUAGUAGUGGUUAUUGUUAUAAAGUUAAUGUCAUUGUUCAAUCUUGUUUAGGACUACAGAAGUGUAGUCACGGUUGUGCCGCCUAGCUGCCUGUGGUAGCCACUCAUUCCACGCUAUGAAAGAGCUGUCCCGACAACGACCCUAAGGCGCCUGCGCCUAGCUGGCCCGUUUGGUUAGAUCGCUCNNNNNNNNNNNNNNNNNNNNNNNNNNNNNNNNNNNNNNNNNNNNNNNNNNNNNNNNNNNNNNNNNNNNNNNNNNNNNNNNNNNNNNNNNNNNNNNNNNNNAUUCUAAGCUUAGGAUCCACAGCUAUCCCAGUUUCAGAAUCACAUGGCCUAGAAAUGCCACUUCUCGAAGCCAAAAUUCGCAUUUCUUUAACUUUGCAAACAGUUUCUUUUCUCGAAGUACUUGUAACACCGCUCUCAAAUGGUCUUCAUGUUCCAUGUCACUACGAGAAUAUAUCAAGAUGUCAUCAAUAAACACUACGACAAAUCUGUCCAAAUAGGGCUUAAAGACACGGUUCAUUAAAUCCAUAAAAGCUGCUGGGGCAUUAGUCAAUCCAAACAGCAUGACUGUAAAUUCAUAAUGCCCAUACCGUGUUCUAAAGGCGGUUUUAGAAACAUCUUCAGGCUUGAUCUUGAGCUGAUGAUAGCCUGAUUGCAAAUCAAUUUUGGAGUACACUUUCGAUCCUUGCAGCUGAUCGAAUAAGUCAUCAAUUCUAGGCAAUGGAUAUUUAUUCUUGAUUGUGACUUUGUUGAUUUCUCGAUAGUCCACGCACAAUCGAAGAGAUCCAUCAUUCUUCUUAACAAACAAUACCGGUGCUCCCCAGGGCGACACACUUGGUCGAAUAAAUCCUUUAUCUAGAAGAUCUUGUAACUGUGCCUUCAGCUCUUUCAAUUCAGCGGGUGCCAUCCUAUAGGGCGCUUUAGAAAUAGGGGUAGUCCCAGGGACAAGAUCUAUCACAAACUCAACCUCCCUAUCAGGUAGCAUGCCCGGCAAUUCAGCUGGAAACACAUCCCCGAAUUCUCGCACAACCGGGAUAUCAUCAAUCUUGACGGCUUCUCCGUCACUCACAGAAAUGCUAGCCAAAUAGGCUACACAUCCUCUUCGUAUCAACUGUCGUGCUCGCAAAGAGCUAAUGGUCAUUGCGAACAAUGAACUCUGACACCCCUUAUAAACAAACUCUUGCUGACCCGGUUCUCUAAAGGUUACCGUUCUGUUCGUGCAAUCUAUGGUGGCAUAAUACUGUGUCAACCAAUCCAUACCCAAUACUACAUCAAACUCACCUAGUUUGUGUAGUGCCAAUAAAUCCACUGGCAUAAUCCAGUCGCCUACCCUAACUGGGCAGCGAGGGCAAAACUCACGAACAUCUAGGGUAUGGUCAGGUACAAUCACUCGUCCCAGAUGCAAAGUAGGUGCUAAAGGAAUGCUAUGCAACUCGGCGAACUGCCGAUCAAUAAAAGAAUGCGAAGCACCAGUAUCAAAUAAUGCACGAACACGAAUAUCAUAAAGCAUAAUAAUACCUGCUACGACCUCCUGUGCUGCUGCGGCGCCCUCGGUCUGGGCGGCAUACAUCCGCCCACUCGAACCCUGCUGCGAACUCUCCGACUGCCGCUGUCCUGGUGGUCGCCUAGACUGAUAAGGCGCUGUCGGGGUCCCCUGGCUCGGAGCUGAAGAUGCAGGUGCAGUCGCUGACGAGGGUGCAGGCAAAGAACCUCUCGGGCACUCUGAACGAAAGUGGCCCUCCUGGCCGCAAAGAAAGCACCUGCCCCCACGCUGUGGACACUGUGGCGGUACGUGAGGCCCACCACAGAUAACACAACGCGGCGGUCGACGACGCUCGGGUGCUCCACGGGGUGCUGAAGAACCUCGACCCCUCGACUGUCCUGACUGUCCCCUCGGAUACUUUGGCGGUCUCCUGAAGGACUGCUGACCACUGCUCUCAGCUGCUGGUCUCUUGCCUUUGCUUCGAUCCACAACAUCUCUUUCCUUCAUGAUUUCUGCCCCCUUCUCAACAAUCAAAGCCCGGUUCACGACGUCCCGGUAAGUGGAGAGGUUUGACGCCUGGACCAAUCUGAAGAUCGCAGGUCGCAAACCCACCUCAAAAAUGCGAGCCUUGUCCUCAUCAUCUCGAACUACAAAAGGAACACAGUGCAGUAAUCGGGAGAACUCUCGCUCAUACUCUGCCACUGUCCUGUCCCCCUGCCUCAGGUUUCUCAGAUCCCUUUCCAUCUGUCUCUUUACACUCUGAGGAAAGUAAGUAGUCAACAACAGUUCCUUGAACCUGUUCCACGUAAUAGCAGACAAAUCAGCACGGGGAUCCUCCCGGAUGUCCACCCACCACCUGUAAGCCUCGCCAUCAAGGUGGUGUGUCGCAAACCAAACUCGGUACCGCUCCUCAACAAAAGUGUCAUAGAAUAGUUUCUCCAUAUGCAUUAACCAUUUUUCAACCACCCAAUGAUCUGCUUUCUCCCCAUCAAAGACACGAGGGUUGCAGCGACGGAAUUCAUUCAGUCGUUCCAUCAUCCGCUCUCGCUCCUCAACCCCCACCAUCUCGGGUAACACUGUCCCAGCUGCUGCUACAGGUACUGGUGGUGGUACUACUGUCUCCUGUCGGGUCUCUGCCCUCGGAGCUACUGGGGGUGUGUCAAGUACAGGUGACUGUGCUCUCACUGUGGUGCCCCUCUCUGGUGCUGUAGGUACAGAAUCUGGAAGUACAGAAUCUGGAAUCUCUCUGUCAGUCGUCUGCCGCAGUAACAGAUCCUCUAACCUCUUCAUCCUGUCCUCCUGUCGACGCGCAGCAUCCAUCUGCUGUCGUGCUGCCGCAGCCUGCUGAGUAACCAAAUCUGUCAACAUCGCAAGCUGAUCCUGCAACUCAUGGAUCCCACUAGAUCCCGACGUAACAGAAGUUCCCACUUCCUCUGCAUCCGCCGCCUCAGCUGCCCCGGCGGCUUGCGAACGAGUCAACGGCAUCUUAAACUGCAGCACAAAAAUAAACAUAGGUAAAUAAACCCUAUACUAUUGAAUCCUCAUUGAGGAUAUAAACCAGCUAAUCAAGCGAAAGUAAUGAAAUGUAACACGUACUAACUUCCGAGGUCACGUUGUCGGCCGCCAACGUGACCCUCUGCAAAGUGAGUACUUGCACAUCCCAAUCAAACUCCCACCAAAUGGAGUUUAUAAGUACCCAAUCAAAGCACUUUCGCUAACAACAACCUAGACUAGACAUCGUCUCUUACGUGCCUAUUCUUAUAGUCCAACCAGCCUAAGGUUUGCUAGGUCUACUAAGACUCAACCCUAGGCUCUGAUACUACUAUAAUCUGUCACGCCCAGGUACCAGCGGAAGCAUAUCCGGCACGUGCACAGACCCGCCAUACACCUGCAGUAUAUAAGGCGUCUACAAAGAAAGCAAGUUGAUAGGGAGUACAACAAAGAGAGUCCUAUCCUGAUAUCAGAGCAAUGUACAAGUCGAUAUACUAUCAGUAAAAGAACAAAGAGUACAUAAACCAAAGUCUCAGCAAAAGGAGAAAAAAGCAAAAACUAUAACAUCUGGAUCUACAACCUAUAUACAAUAUAGGGUAUACAAAUAUAUCUGUACAAAGGUAGUCACUCUAUAUAAUGGACAUCACCCUCGGCCGUAGCCCGAGUAGCAAGGUGAUCGACUAGCAUGCUCCUAGCAAAGUCUAGCUAGACGCGACUCCCUUGCCACGAUCCCUAGCCUCUCCUGUAGAUGGCUCUGUAAAAACAACCACCAAAAGGGCGUGAGAACUAUUAACAAUAGUUCCCAGUGGGUAAGCCGCCAGCCUCAGCGAAUUACACCACUAGGCUCAUGAUGUACUGAAAUAAAGAAAAGCAGUAACUGCAUGAUAUAUAAGUAUGCAAUGCUAACAGGUAGUGAGCAUCUAAUAUGCAUGUAAACAACUUGUAAUAAUAUGUAAUAGCUUUCUACAGUAAUGAAUCAUUUGCAUAAUAGGGAUAUGGCAAUCUCUGUAAUCAUGAACAUAGACGUGAAUAUGAGCACGAACAUGUAAGUGACUACUGUACACUUUAAUUAAUAAGCAUUCAUUACUGUCCUUUUUCAUUGAGUACUAUCCUUUCAUUCACAGGGACCUACCCAAGGUAGUCCAGCUUGCGCCGCGCCUAAUGGUCCCGUGGUAGUAUACACUCCCCACGGCAAUCCACUUCGGCACCCAAUCCCGCACGGGCGAGUAACUGUCGCGUAGGCCAACUCCGGAGUGCCGGCUUGUAGGGAGCUACCCUCACAAGCGUGUGUGAAUGAGCACGAUGGCAAGCAAGCAAAGUCCAUUGUCCACAUGUCCCAAUUUUCAUAUUUUCAUUGCAAAGUUCUUACUCUCGAUCCUCUGAUCGGAAUUUCAAUACACGAAUAGUAACAAGAGCUAGUAUCCACUAGAUUGUAAACAUGUAAAGGUAAAGCUAAAUCACAUGGCAUGAUAAUCUUUCCACUAGUAUGGCACUAUCAACAUAGUCAUGAGCAUGUCAUAGUUCUCUACGAUAGAGUCAAGAGAAUGUCAUUGUUCUCUACCUUAUAAGUGCAUUCUACACUUGUUCAUAAGUCAUUCAACUGAAUUGACUACAAAUAUAAAUACUUUCAUGUGUAAGUGUUCUCUACUUUGUAGAGACUUUAUUUCAAUUAUGUUCAACAUUAUGAUGACGAAUGUCAAGCCCCUUAUUAAUCACAUAAACACACAAGAAGACCAUUUCUAUAAUACAUAUAGAACAUAGGGGAAUUUCACUUGCUCUGGUUAGGUCCGACCCACCUAGUACUAGGCUCCAAAUCAACCAAGGAGUCCCAAAAAAUCAGAUCCACUAGGUCUCAACCCUGCUGAACACAAACAUCAACACCGCGUCAAAAGAACGACCGAAAAAUCCGAUUUCUGCCUAAAUUACACGUAAUACAAAGUAAUCCCUUAAAUCCCUGUUUUGGGACUAGUGUUAUACCUCAAGAUAAGUCUUCAAGAGCUCUCACAGGUCAACUAACGAUGAUCCAAGGCUCGAUCGCACUCUCGCUGCGAACAAAAUCAAAACAACAUCAAACUCGUCAUAUAUUAGCAAUUAUAGUCGGAAUCUUGCAAUUUCAACUUCCUAACUGAAAUUCUUACUUACCUUAGGGUAGAACAACUUCCAGACCAGCUUCAACGAGUACAAAUUCAGCUCAACGAAGCCCGAAGACCUGCUGCGAAGAAAUAAUCCCCAGUUGCAUCAAGUCGCUCCAAUAAUUGCAUUAAGUUCCGAUUUAGCUUCAUAAAUGGCUAAUUCUCUCAAUUAACCUUCAAAGAAGCUUAUCCCUAGUCUAAGGAGCUUAAUUCACAGCUAAAUAAUCCAACUUUAAUUGCUGAAAUCUCAGAGUAAAGCAACUAGAAGCAAUAACGCAAAAGCAACACAUAAACGACUACUCGAACGUUGAUAAUGGAGAAAAUCGAGUCGUUUACCUCUUCAAGCUUCCAACCAGCACCUCGCUGGUCCAGAGUUGCAAAGAACCUUCCAAAAUACUCUCUCACGCGUCCACGAAAGCUCUGCGACGCUCGCAAACAGCGAAGAACAAGCGCGGCGACGAAAACGAGCGAAAUCGUCGAAUUCUAUAUAGAGAGAGAAAAACCCUAGAGAGAGAAAGAGGAGAAGGUGAAGAAACCCUUUGCUGAGCUCUAGCACACUCCACUGAAGUCCCAGAGUCGUGCUGGGAUCAAAUAGAUAGGUAUCCAAUGUGAAAAGACCAAAAUAGCCUUGCUGCCAGAUUUCUGCCAGUCUGUACCGGUACAAGGUGAUGGCUGUACCGGUACAACAAGCAGAAAAAGGCUGAUUUCGCCUGUUUGAUGCAAUUUCUCACUUUUAGCCUUCCAAUCAUCCUCUAACUUAUCCAAAAACUUGUUCUAACCUUUUAGAACAUGUAGGAUUGAUCCACACACCAUUCCACAUACUCGAACUCCGCAAUUUGCAAAAGUCCAGUAUAUUACACAACCUCUACGGUCAACCUCGUAAAGGAGGUACCUACCUAUAAGGUCAAAUCAUAUAGGGCUGAUUCAGCUGACUUAUAAGGUCAAAACCCAACAGAUAAGUAACUACCAAUCUACUAUAUCAUAUCAUCAUCAGAUGCACUAGAAUGAAUGUAAUACACUGAACUUUAGCAAAUUGCGAGGUUCUAAUGUUCGAAUAGUAUUUGGCACUAUUUUGGGUAUGUUGGAGGGUCAUAGACUGUGUUCCGACCUGUUUACUCACAUCUUGAGAAGCAAGGAUGAGUACUUAGCACCAAAGCCUCCAAACUGCAGGUUUUGGGGUGUUGGGUACCGGUACCAGAGAGGGGUACCGGAACAACGUCGCGCAACAGAGAGAUGUGCUCUCGGGUUUGAGCUCUGCGAGGUAGAGUACCGGUACUACAUCACUCGAGUAUCGGUACUGGGGCUUGGUACCGGUACUACAUCGCGUGGGUACCGGUACCCUGCGUGUUGUUCGCUUGACAGAGGCUCAGGUUUGCACGUUCGGCUGCGGGGUACCGGUACUCCAGCCCGCGUACCGGUAUGUAGUGCAGUCCACAGGCUACAUGUUUUUUAGGGUCCUUUUUGGAAUUGUAGCAACACUUUAUAUAACCCCACACCUCUUGAGUGGCUUUUUUGUGCUGGAACUAGAGCAGAAGAGAGGUGAGUCUCCCCCUUCACCUCUCUCUGAUUUCUUCUCUUUUUUUGUGAGAUUUCAUGGGUUGACCUCUCCUUUUUGCUUCUUUUUGCUUCUUUUUGCUUGGUGAUGGUUCUUCUACCUUGGAGAAGCUUUGGAUUGAGGAUUGGAGCUUGUUUGAGGAAGGAUCUCCAACCCUAGCACCUUUUAGCUUGGUUUGGAGCUUGGGAAAAAGGUUAGUAACCUUUCUACUACAGUUGAUUGUGGUCUAUGCUUGGGUUUUGGAAGAAAACCUAGUUUUGAAAAAAUUAGGUUUUUAUUUCGGGGUUUUUGAUUUGUAACCUUUGGGGUGAAUUUGAUGAGUAUAGAACUAUCUUUUAGGUUGGAUUAGAAGCAUCCUAGCCUUCAUUUGGAUUUUGGAAGAGUUUUCUACCAUCUAAGGUAAUUUUCUAUCUAUUUAUGGGUUGGAUUAUGAGAAAUUUUUGGGUGUUCGUUUGAAGCUCCUAACCCUCUUGAAAUUUUUGUUAGGGAACUAAGAGACUUGUGGACAACUCCGUUCGCGCAAAUAAAGGGGGUUGUGAGGGGUAUUCGGUGGGUUUGACCUCACCGAAAUCGGUGAACUCCUCCUAUGUUAUAUUUUGUGGUUUAAAAUGGAAAAUCAUGCAUAUUCAUGCUAGAUAGGGCAUAAAUGAAUUUUUGAAUGUCUAAAAUACAUAUGUCAUGUAUCAUGUUUUGUAACCUCUACGUAGUAGAGAGAGAAAUGUAUCGUAAGUUGCAUGUGAGGUGGCAUUGUUAUACUAUGUUGGGAAUCAUGAUUUGUUUAGUAAAAUGACAAGCUUUUACAUGCUUAUGAACAAAGAACAUAUGCUAGACAUAGAGAACAUUAAUGUUAUAGAGUGGCAUUCGACUUAGUAAACGGUUAAAUCUUUAUACUGUGACAUAGAGUUAUACCUUUGGGUUGCUAGUACUUGUACCAUAUUUUAGACAUGACGAUUGUGGAAUUGAGAUGGAUGAUUAUACUUGCUUGCCAUUGUGCUUAUUCGCACAUACUUUUGAGGGUUGCUCCCCACAAGCCAGCACUCUGGAGUUGGCCUACGCGACAUAUGCUCGUCCAUGCGGGAUUGGGUGCCUACUGGGUCGCCGUAGGAUAGUCACAUUCUUAGAGGGAAAUGCUGGACUAUCAGGGGCCAUUAAGCAACACAAGCCGGACUACGCUUGUGUAGAUCCCUAAUUGGCUCAUGAUUGGUAACAAUGUCGUUGAUUUUUCAAUUUCCAAAACGAUCAAUUUUAGCUUUGCAUUUAAUUUGUUUCUCAGGUGGUAAUAACUAGCAUGCAAAUUGCAAACAAGCUUCUUCUAAUUGGCAGUUAUCAGAAAAUAAAGGUACAAUUUAAUUUUCAUUGUUAUGUUGCUUUUUUUAAGACAUUUCGGUGCAUUAUAAAUAGAGGUUUGUACCGCAUUAGCAAAUUAGUUCUGUAUUUGAGAUCAGGGUUCUAUGUUGAUCAACGAAAGCUUAAAAUUAUUCUUCUCCAUAAAGUUGAUUGCAUUCAACUUACUAUGACAUCACAUCGCUUGAUCAUUGUAACUUUAACACUGGUCAUGUCUAGGUAACAACAAGCUCUCUUUAUUUUGUUGUUUGGAUCUACUAAUUUACUACUUUUGAUAUGAUCUUCUUUGGUGAUGUAAUAGUUCCUGACAACCAAAUGCCAAAAUUAUAGCUGAUAUUGAGGAUUUUCUAUUUUUUUUUUAAAUUACAUUUCUUCAGUUUCAGAUGGCACUACAACAUUUUGUAUUAAAGGUGGCUUUUAUCGGUACCUAUAGCGGCUUUUAGAAAAGCCGCAACAAAAGUACCGAUUUUUCUGAAAAAGCCACAAAAAAAGCCAGUGAAAACUAAGUCGGUAUAGGUCUAUGUCAAUAUAACGGCAUAUUGCGAAAGCCGCAUUUUAGUGCCUAUAGUGGCUUUUUGAAAGCCACUAUCAGCAUUCAAACUAUUGUACUAUUUUAGCCGUCUUUGAUUAUCUAUAGUGGCUUUUUGCCAAAAUACUGCAAUUUCUACAGUUUUUAAGAGCUACGGCAAUUGAAAAGCCGCCUUUUAUUAGUAUAGCGGUAUUUGGUGUGCCACAAUGCGAUAGUUUUUGUGGCUUUUCAAUGCUGUUAAUAAAAUUAUGUUGUGGCUUUUUGGAAGCUGUUAAUAUGCAUAUACAAUGACUUUUUAUAAAGCUACUAUUGAUCGAAAUAUAUGGACUUUUGAAUAUGUAUAUUAGCUAGGAAUAGUUGUAUGAAAGAUACAAUACAAAAAUGAUAUAUUCAUAGCAAAAAAGUUGUUUUAUUUAUAUAUAAGUCAAGAGUAUCGAAUGAAACCAAAAUACUAAUUGUUUCUUACAUACUCAACAUUAAUAAAAUGAUAAAAAAUUAUAAUAUCAAAAAAUAGUUUUUUAGAAAUGACACAGUUGCUCAAAACAUAAAAUGAUGCUAUGAAUAUAUCAUUUUUGUAUUGUNCUUACAUCCUCAACAUUAAUAAAAUGAUAAAAAAUUAUAAUAUCAAAAAAUAGUUUUUUAGAAAUGACACAGUUGCUCAAAACAUAAAAUGAUGCUAAAGGUCAUAGUAGGUCCAAAUACAAAAGAAAUGAUCAAGUAUCACUGGAAGGAUUUGAUAAUACUGACGUAUAGCAAGUGCCUGAAGACUCAAGAUUCUGUAACAAAAAUAAAAACUUCUUUCAAUAAAAUAAGAAUAUAGUUAAUAAUUAAAAUAUAAUGAUAAAAUCGAUAAAAUUAUCUAGAUAAAGUCAUUUUUCCUACCUGUCGACUGCCACCAAGGUUACAAUCUGGCAUUUUUUGUCUUAUAAAUUCCAUAACGUCAGCUAAUUGUGACUGCAGUUGGGAAACCAUUUUUUUACUCUCUUGCACUUCCUCUCUUAACUUUUGUACUUCUUCCGUUGAUUCCAAGUUAUAACACACACAAUGUUCAGAUGGGAUCAAUCCUAGCCCUCUUACUCGGCUGUCAUACUCUGUCACGCCCCGGGACCCAGCGGAAGCCCGCCCGGCGCGUGCCCAGACCUGCCAUACGUCUAAAACGUAUAAGGCGUCUAGAAACAACAAUAAUAAAAGCAAUAAUAAAAGACAUCUAGGAGUAUCAGAGCAAUAUAAAUGUCUAAAAGCUACAAUAAGGGUAAGGAUAAAACUGUAAAUCCACUAAAUAAAACAUAAAGUAAGUACAAAAGAAAAUCCCAAAUACAAGUGCUAAAAGUAGGUACAUAGGUGGUCUCUAUACAUGAAUACAAAAAUCUCUCUCUCUCUCAACUACAAAAAGAAAGAGUAAACCACCUAGGCAAAGUACCGCUGCUAGCUAGCUAAGCGAUCCCCUUGCCGCGAUCCCGUGCCUCCGCCGGUGCCGAAGGCUCUGAAAAGUGAACCAUAAAACAGGGGCGUGAGAACUAUUAAAAAUAGUUCCCAGUGGGCAAUUACUGACUUCAGUGAACUGCGCCACAAGGCCCAAAAGCUACAAGAAAAGGUCAGUGACUAACAAUGUAAUAAUUAAACGGUAAGUGAAAUAUAACCUACUAUAACAUAGAGUCUCCACUUAGCAUGAUUUGCAUAAGUAAUAAAUCAACUAUAACAUGAAUGUACAUGGAUGUGUAAGACAUGCAUAAGCGUAGAAAUGCAACCAAUCCAAUGUCCUCAAUGCAAAGAUAGUAAAAAUGUCGUCGUUUACUAUUCUAGUCCAAGUCCACUUUAAUAGUUUUAAAGUUCACAUAGCAUGUUCUGUCACUAAGUCCCAAUCAUAUAAGACCCACCCGAAGGCUGUCUGGCCUGCGCCGUGCCUAAUGGCCCCGUGGUAGUCAACAUCCCCACUCUAGGGAUGAGCCUCCCCCACGGCGAUCCACUUCGGCGCCCAAUCCCGCACGGCGAGCAUGUGUCGCGAUGGCUAUCUCCGGAGUGCCGGCUUGUAGGGAGCGACCCUCACAAGCAUGUGCGAAUGAGCACAAAUGGCAAGCAAGCAAUGAUCUGUCUCAAGUACCAAGUCCUCAUGUCUAAAACAUGGAAUAUGUCAAGUACCACGAUGGCCUAUCUCUAUGUCGUCAUGUCUCUAACAUGGAAUAUAGCAGAUACGUAAUGGCCUAUCAAUAUGUCUCUAUGUUGCAGUUUAAAUGUUUACUAGUUCCAAGUGCCUCUUGAUGACCCUUUUUGCUACUAAGUUCAAACAUAGUAUAAUGUUUCCCAUACAUGAACAUAAGCUAAAUUAGCAUACUAGACGAGAAUCCCAUUCGUCCACAUGAACCCACCCCACAUGCAUGACAAUAACCUUGAUUACUCUACCAUCUAGAGUGAAAUUUAACUUACACAUAGGGCAUGCAUUUUAGGGGUUCUAAAUUUCACAUAAAUUCCAAUUAGCAUAGGAAAGCAUUUAAAAAUAAGUUACGAAUAGUUUAGAAUGCACAGGGGCCAUUUCGCCCCAUUUCCAUGAAGUCAAACCCACCGAUGACGACGAAACUCCUCGUUCGCUCCAACGAGGGUGUCCCCUAGUCUCCUAGUAUCCUAGAGGUAUAGAAACAUGUGUCAAACAAGGCUCACGAACAAAGCUAAGCUCAAACAUUAAGCUUCUCUAGCUAGGUUGGAGAAAACUCACCGAAAGCUAAAGAAUCUCUCUCGAUCUCAAAAAGGGAGUUAGAUUCCUUCAAAUCCAACCUAAAUCAAAGUUCUAAACCAAUCAAUUUGGUUCUAGAAGCUACAAAUCAAAAAUCCCCAUUUUUAGCCCUAAAACUCAAAAUCUAGGGUUUCAUCUAGUAGAAGAUAUUAAAACUUGAUCCAAAAGGGAGAUUUAGCUUACUAACCUCACAAGAUGCCCAAAACCAAGUUCUAAGCCAAGUGGAGUUGAAGUUUGAUCCUCCAACAAGCUCCAACCAAGAUCUCAACCUUCUCCAAUGGUGGAAAUCCCAAAAAAAGCAAGAAGGAGAAGAAAAGAGAGAUCAAAACCACUAAAAACCCACCAAAAAAAGAGAUCAAAUCAAGAGGGGAAGACUCACCUUGCUCUCCUCUGGUUAGGGCUCAAAAAGAGCAGCAAAGGGGCUGGGGUAGUUUAUAAAGAGUAUUGCAACAAUUGCAAAAAGACCCCUCCACGAAAUCUGCCCAGAGGCAUUGUGUACCGGUACACGGGAAAGUGUACCGGUACACUUCCUGCGAAACAGCCCAACCCGAGCCUCGGGUUGGCAGAAAAUCUAAUGUGUACCGGUACAACCAUCAAGUCGUACCGGUACAAAUUCUGUACCGGUACAACCAUCAAGGCUGUACCGGUACACAGCCUGGCUGAGGCUAAUCAGAGAGUACUCCAACAAUCCAACCUUUUGGGAUUUUGGUACAGGUUUAAACCCUCAAUUCUCAGGAUGCGAGCCAUAGAUCGGAACGCUGUCUACGAUCCUUCAGAAAGUCUGAGAUGGCUCGACACACAGAUCAAACACUCGAACCUCGCAAUUUGCAAAGGUCCAGUGUGCUACAUACUCUUUUCUUAUGACUUCGAUAUAAAUUUUGUUUUCCAUUGUAAUCACAUCCUCUCGAGAAGAUUCAGAUGUUCCAGAGCAAUUAGCCAAUUUGUCUUUAGCAUCAACCUAACAAUAAAUUUUGUUAACAAAUUUAUAGAAAGCAUCAAUUUAGACAAUAUGAGAGGACAAGUUUCCUUUAGCAUUUUAUGAUCAAAAGUAUAGAAAGCAUCAACUUACAAUAGCAAUACAAAGAAAGUUGUAACAACCUAUCAUUUAUUCAAGGGUUUUGGAAAGCUUUUAUAUUCCAUAAUUAUGAAAGAUAAAAAACCAUCAGCAACAUUCCCAUCGACUAUCCAAGAGCUCUAUAAUAUUUCAUGGUUAGGAAUUUAAAUUAAGAAAAUAACAAUGAUUUGACCUAUAGACUAAAAUGUUGCAUAGAACUAUACUAAAAGAAUCCAUUAACUUAGACAUGCUAUCUAGCUAGGUUAUAGACAUAUAGUAAAUAUAGAGUUGAAAGCUAACAAACAGAGUAGUAAAAUUACCAUUAAUUUUUUCGCAUUGUCACUUAUAAAUGAUCUAUUUUUUUUCGUGUGAGUUAGUUCGAACAUCUCAACAAGUCUAGGUACUCUGCCAGUUGUAUCUUCCUGCAAAUAUCAUAAUGUAGACAAGUAUAAGAAUGUUGCAAUAACAUAAGUUUUACAACAAUCAAUAAAAUAAAUAGUUACAAUUUCUUUCUCUUUUCGUGCAAAGCUUUUGGAUCCUGAUGUAUGUGUGUAUUUCUGUUUGGCUCGACUUUCUUUGUAAGGACCGAGAUUUUUGCAAUGUAGCUAAACUCUCAGUUGAUGAUGUUUUUGUGUGUAAUUUAAUUACAAAAGCACUCGUCAAGUUUCGGGAGAAACGAGUUAAAACGGAGAUUUUACGCGAUUUUCAAGUUUCACUUAAAGUGAAUAGUAACUCAGUUUUCCGGAGAAGACACGGUGCGAAGUUGGCUUCUAGUGCGUAUCGGACUCCGUUCAUAGCAGUCCAAUAGCUCGUUUCGACCGGUUCAGCUAUUCUAGAACUGAUGACGCUGACGGAUUUUGAGUUUGAUGCACGGAUUUUGAGAAAAUCUAAAAAUACGUGUUUUAUAUGUAUUUGUGCGUAGUUCUUCUGUUGGAGAGAUGGAUCGGAUUUCGUUGCGAAUCCGCGAUGGAUCGAGGCGAAACGAAAUUGUAGCUUUGUUGUCUCUAUUGUACUGAUCACACUGGUACGAUCCGUUCGCAAAUCUGACGGACGGAUCUACGGAGAUUGUGCAUUGAUCGAGGAGAGGUUGGUGAUGGCAAAACGGUAUUUUCGUAAAAAGUGCGACAUUUUAUGUACCGUUUUACGUGAGAUCGCACGUGGAGGGGUAUUCUCGCGUUUUACACGCGCUGUAAGGGACUUAGUACCAAAUACUGAAGUUUGAGGGGCUUUUUCGCAAUUUGCACCUUAUAUAUAUAUAGUGUAUCUAGGGUUUUCUACCUUGAAAUCCUAACCCUAGACCCUAGCCGCACCUUGCCAUCUUCUACUCCCUCCUCUGACUGCACAGUGCGCUCCCCAGCCGCCGGCGCACGCUGCCGGUCGCCGAAGAAUGAGGUUCCAUCUCCCUCUCCAUCUCUCUCUCCAUCUCUCUCUCUUUUCUUCUCGGGUUGGAGCCCUAGUCGAGGCUGCAUUGCCUCCCUAUUCCCUGCCGGCGUCGCCCUGACCCUAUCGGAGCUUCCCCCGACCAGUCGCUGCCGCCUGCCGCCGUCGCCUGCGCCGCCGCUGCUGGUUCUGCAAUCUGCGGCCGCCCCAGCCCGAGCUCGGGCUGAGGCUUGUGUGCGGCCUCCCCCUUGCGUCGCCGCCGCCCCGGACCAACCGUGAGGCACCUCCCCGACCUCAGGCCGUCGGCCGCUGCCGCCCCGAGCCGCCCAGUGCGCCGCCGCCGCCACCUCGGCCAGCCCUCAGCCGUCCCUGUCUGCUCGGGCCGAGGCAAGCCUGCGGCUUCCUCCUCGCGCCACUGCCGCCUGGGACCACCCGUUCCGCCUGCUGCCGACCUUGGGUGAUCCUCCUCCGCCGUCUCGGAGCUCCCCGGCCGCCGCCGUGGCCGCUUGUACCCGCGAAACCCGAGCUUUAGCUCGUGCGGGCUCAAGUCUCUCCGCCGUCACCGCCGCCGCUUCUCGCCGCCAACUGAGGUGAGCAUCGUGUUCCUCACCUCCCCCACAUCCAUCCCUGACCCGCACGCAUGCCGCAAUGCCGCCGGAAGCCGGCCGGAGAGGGCUUGCUCCGGCCAAGCCCGAAAUAGGGCUUAUUUGAGUGGGUUUAUUGUUCUGAGCUUCUUGAGCUUCCCUGAUCUCUGCGGAAGGGAGCACGAUGAUUGUAGCAAAUUGCUGAUCAUCGUGCUCACCUUAAAUUCUGUCGGGGAGACUCCGUUCCGCUGUUUCUGCGGUGUCGACCCGAUUGAGCCUUUUCGAUUGAUGUUCCAUGCUUGCGCGCGUUUUUUCGGCGAUCCGAGGCUGUUCCGAUGCCUCCGGAGGUGAGCACGGUGAUCGAUGGUUAGUGCUGAUCACAGUGCUCACCUCACUUUGGAUCAACAUUGUCCGGUUAGCCCUGUUUGGCGCGAUCUUCCCCGACUGCGCGCUGUUCACAGAACUUCGGGUUGCUCCCGUGCCUCCUACAGUGAGCCGAUGUGCUCCGGACUAUGAGCAUGGCCUCCGGCACAUCGAGACAUGUCAAUACAUGUCUCGGUGGAACUUAGAAGUCCUCGGUUUGCGUGAACGAGCUAUUUUAUUGCCCGAUUUACAUAAAAUAUUGGGGAAGAAGGUAACUCGUGACACGAGUCGGUGAGUUUCGGGACACUUAGUGAGUCCCGACGACGUCCCAGUGUGGUUUUCGGGACUUCCGGCGAGUUACGGUAUUCGAUAUCCGAUCUUCGUGAAAUUGUUUGUGGGGUUGUGGUUACUGUGGUUCUUAGUGGUGGGUUAGAUACUAACCCGGUGGACCCUCUAUAGGUCCUGUCGACAUUCUUUUGCAGUCAGGAGACAAACGCGACAUCCUUACAGGUGGGUACUUCGAUCCGACGUCGGUACAAUGGUGCACGCUUGGUGAUGGUUUCUUACCCUUACUCUUCUGUUGUUACUAUCGCAUAGUAUAUUGAGCCUUGCACCCUUGUUUAUUCGUUAUACUCUACUCGUUGUUUGCAUGCUUAGUAUCCUGAGUAUGAGUAGAGUAGUUCUAUCUACAUGCAUAUCUGUUGACCUAGUUGGUCUGUUGUCGCAUUCCGUAUUCUUUGACCUAGUUGGUCGAUUGUUGCAUUCCGUAUCUGUUGAUCUAGUUGGUUGGUUGUGCAUUCCGUAUCUGUUGACCUGGUUGGUCAGUUCUCGUACUUCGUAUCAGGGACCUUGUUGGUCAGUUGGACUCUGUGGACCUUGGGUCGAGGCAACACAUCGACUCUCUUGUCAUGUGUUUUGAUCUGGUUGAUCGUGGUUUAGCGUUGUACGCCCUUGUUUCUGGCUUCGGCCUAGGCACCGGCUUCAGUCGGGUUUUGUAUUGAGCAUACCAGCAUGACUUAGUCACAGCACUUGGGGGUGUUCACGACACCGGGUCGGUUUGGCCACCGACCGGAGGUGUGCUUAUCCGGAUGGAUCGUCCUGUGGGGCAGGUGAAUCAGGUCGGUGCAGGUUAGUGAUAGGCAGCGCUUGAGGUAUGCGGACCAAUAUAGCAGGUACCAGAUUGGGUAUAUUUGGACUUCUUGUCCGGUUGACGCAUAUGACUAUAGUAGCGGUUGUUGCAUGUAUACUUACCGUUCCUUCUUUACAGUUGUCUUACUACUAUAGUUUUGUUGCAUAUAUACAUUCAGUUGUUCAUUACAGUAGCAGUAGUUGUACUUCUUUCAUAUAUAUGUCUCUUUCAUUCAUUAUUAUUGCUACUGUAUUUCUACUGACCCGUACUGUUGUUUAGCUCUUCCUAAUCCGGUGAGUACUCUUCGCCUUCAUCGGCUUGCGGUACCCACUGGGAGGGAAGACAUGUUUACAUGUUCUCACCUUCCCCACCAUUUUUCAGGUAUUGCGGGCGGUGAGAGUCGAGACGAGAUGUGAGACACGUUCGUAGCGGUCGAUAGAGCUUCCGACCCAGGUUAUUCGGUUUAGUUUUUACCCUUACUAUUAUGUUGAUAUAGCUCAGAUAGUUUAUAUGGUUCAGUAUUUUUAUUACAUUUGAAAAUGUGGGUUUUCAUGAAUGUAAUAAAGGGAUUUGUGAAAUUUAUGAAAAGAAAAAUAGUUUUCUACCCCUCGUGAUAGCGCGUUUUAAAAGAAAAGGUUUCCGUAUGGGGAACAGCUUUCAAAAGAGUUUUCUUAUGGUUUUUAUGUUUAAACACUAAAUAAUAAAUAUUUGGUGAAUGGUGAAUGAAUGUUGUGUAUUGUAUAUUCAUGUAGUGUGGUUGUAUCUUGGUUAUACUCUGUUUGAAAAUUUUGUACUUGUGCGACGCCGUGCAAAUACAGGGGAGACUCUGUCCGUGUGAACAGUGAACUCCCUGUAUUUGUGGCGGGUCUGGCAUACCCUGGGGUCAGGUUUUCAAAAAAAAAAAAAAAUUUCCGCUAUGUUUUAACCUAAAAGGGACCCCGGGGCGUGACAUUCUUUGGCUAACUUCUCUCGUUUCUCCCAUUUAAAAGAUAAUAAAAAAUUAGUCAACAGUACAUCCAUACUAGAAAUUUCAUAGUAAUUAAAGGAAAAAAGCAUAGUAAUGCCAUAUUUGGUCAAUAAUACUUACUCUACCAAUCAAGUAUUCCUCCACACCACCACAUACAACAUCAUAGCAACAAACCAUUACAUAAGAAAUAGGGCUUACUUGUGAAGCUAGGAACAAGGAUGCAAACUAUUCUCGUAUUUCUACCACCCAUGCAUGAGACACUUGUAAUGAUUGAAAUGAAAAAUAAUUGAACCUUGAUAAAGAAAGAACUAAAAAUUAAUGAGCUUAUAUUGGACUUGGUUACAUGGAAAGUGCGUUCGACGAUUGCAGCAUUGACCAAGGAUCCGAGGAAAGCAAGGGCAAAAGCUAGCAUGAACAUAUAGUGUGUCAUGUUUAAGAUUUGAAACAAUAGAACUAAUUGAUAUAGAAAAGAUAAAUGAAGAAGAUGAUGACUUCUUUCUUAGAUAAUUGUAUCUUGGUGUGGCACAAACCAUUAGUUAUCUUUAUAUAGAUCCUUGAAAUGCAUACUGAUAAGGAAACAAUAAGAUAUAUAAACAACGCAUAAAGAAGUAGUUGAUCACAUUUUCGGCAUUUAGAAUCAUUAGAUACCGAACUGAUUUGAAAUUCCAAACUAAUUAAUAAUUUUGACCAUUCUUCAAAGGUGUAUUUAUCUAACAAACAUAGGGAGUAAUAUACGCAAAAGAUCGUAAAACCUCUCUUAGUAACACCUCCACCCAUCCUUUAUUCCUGCGAAGCCACCAUUAGUUUAAAAACCCAAAAAAGCAAACCCCACACAAAACUACAACUUCACUAUCAGUUAAGUAACCAACAUGCACCGAUAGUAGAUAGUAGAAGCAGUAGUAGUAGCUAAAUAUCCUUUGUUAUUCUCAUCUGUUUUUCUUCAUGUACGUUCAACGUGCAUGUGUUAAAAGUAUCUGGUUGGUAGUAGAUAGUAGAAGUAGUAGUAAUAGCUGUAACUUAAUUAAUUGCUGAAACCAUUAGUAGUAGUAGUAGUAGUAGUAGAACUAUAGUAGUAGGUACUAAGAGGGCCUAUUUUAUAAUAUUUUUCCUGCCACAGAACAUAAUAAUAAGCANAUCUUUUUUUUCCUAAUAUUUUUCCUGCCACAGAACAUAAUAAUAAGCAUCAUUAGAGCUCUCAUAGCUAGGUUAUCAUUUGAUUGAGAGAAUGAGAAAAAAAACACAAAAACAAAAACAAAAAACAAACUAAUGGUGCUGUUAUUUCCAAGUAGAGAUUACAAUGUCUUUUUCGUGUGGAUUCGAUAGAUUGUUAUUUCCUACUAAUUCCAUCGUGCCUUUGGACUAAUUUAUUAAGUAGGUAAAUCUCCUUGUAAGUAGCCUAUGGUACGUAAUCAUGUGAAUUUUAUUUGGUCCUUGAGGUAAUAGCAAAUUAAUUGAAAACGUAUUAAGAAAAGAAAUUAUCUGAAAUGGAUUGUGAAUUUACUAUUCUCCUUUUUCUUUGUCUUCUUCUCUCUCAUACAUCGAUCAUUAAAAGUCAACCAGAGUAUAGAAAGCAUUAUCUAGAAAUAAAGCAUUGACACCAUUACAUGACAAAAAUAAAUCAUACCUUGGCAACAUCAGAGUAUAAAAAGUCAACCAGGCUCAACCAUUGCUGCUUUGCUACACCAGGAGGCACAUUCUUACUAAUCUCUUCUUUUGGUUUUAUUCGGUCAAAAUGCUUGGCCUUCAAUUCAACUUUGUAGUCUUUCCAUUUCUUGUUUAAAGAUCUCAUGACAAAGGCUCACCCUUUCUUUGAUUGAAAUUGAAAUUUUGACUGCAAUGAAAAUAUACACAAAAUUAAAAAAUAUAUAUAUAAUAAGAUGGUUAUAUAAACAUAUGUAAACAGUGUAAAAUGUGUCAAAUACCAUGGCAAAAGACAAAGCUUCAUUUUUUAGUGAAUUGGCAUUCGUCUCCAAUUAAUAUAGUUUAGAGGGCAGAAUUGACCAUUUCGUGCAACUAUUCUGCAAAAACCAACGAGCAACCUUGCCUCCUUAUUUAUGGGUUUCCCUCUUUUGUUAAAUCGAACUUGAAUACGCCAAUUCUCAUCCAUUUCCCAUAUCUCCUUUAAUGUUGUACGACCUCUCUUUCUUUCUCUUUUUCCAUCGUCAUGACUACAAAAAAGUCAAUGCUAUAAUUAGACUUUAAUUACAUAUAGCUUAGCUUGAUAGAAAUAGUGUCAUCAAAGUAAAAUGACCCACAAAAAGAAAGAUAUAAGAUAAUACAAAAAUUCUAGGGAGAAGAAUCUAUGAAAAUCCUGCAAAGGCAUAUUGUAUUCCAAUCAACAGCAUAUGAACCGUUGCAUUCCAAUCAACAGUUUCAUUAUUUCAGACCUAAAACUCCUUAACAAGUAUCCUAAUCGAGAAUCUGAUUUUUAUUAUUCUGAUGUUGUGUCAAAGAUAACUUAUAGUAGACAACUAGAGAUAGAAAAUCACUCAAAACUGUUCAUACUGGUCCACACAUUCACAUUACCGAAAAGAAACCAUUUCCAUUUAAUUAGGAGCAAAAUAUCAAUUGUUUUCAACUAGGAGAUCAUGAAGCGAUCUCAGUAUUCAGGAAAGUAGGUGUUAACACACUUGUAAGGUACCGGACUUUUAAAACUACGAAGUUACGGUGUACAUUUAAAUGGUUCCGGUGAGGUUGCGAUGGAAUGUAACAUACCGGAUUUUGAGUAUAAAGGUGAAAAUAAAUAAAAAUAGUAUGAGAUACUAUUUUAUUGGGUUUAGAGAAGUGAAAUAUAGAUUGGAAAUGACCUGUGCUGAAAUCGGAGCGAAAACAGAAGAUUUAGAAUUUUCUGUGAGAAACGGGGCAGAUAAAUUAGCAGAAAAUGCACAGUGUCAGAAAAUUAUGAAAACUGUAGGAUAUGUCAGAAAUAUUUUUAUGAGGCUAGAUUUAAAGUUUCAUACCAUUCUGACACCCGUAGAGUGAGAAAUCAAAUCCGACAGUUAUCUGAUUAAGAUUACAGUUCGGCACAGUUUUCGGUGACCAAACGGGGUCGAAACUGAGAACUUAAGAUAUAUCCUUACUCAGCACGUUAAACUGAGCCUGCCUGUCAAAUUUGAGCUCAAACGGACAUUCAGAAGGGCUCCAACGAAACUUAUCAGAUUAGGGACUAAACUGGAAGGUUGAAUAGUUGAGGGGCUAACUUGUAAAAAGGGAUUAAAUCCCUUUCUUCUCCUUCCUCAGCCGAAUGCAACCCGCACACACACACAACACACACGCAUACAUGGAAAGGAAGAGAGAGAAAACUUUUUUUCUUCUCUAGAUCUCUCCAAAAUGAAUGGAUUGGUGGAGAUGAAAUUGGAGUGGAUGUCUUCAUCUUCUUCAUCUUCUCAUGGUUUUGGAGUUAGUUUGAGAGGUAAUCUUCGAUGCCCUUUAUGGUGAAUUGUAGGGCUUCAAUUAUACUCUUCUAAAUAUGGAUUUAUUGAGAUCUAUGAUGUAAUAGAUGAUUGUUGCCUUAAAUACACGAUCAAUUUAAUGAUUUAUUGGAGUAGUUUGAGAGGUAAUCUUCCGAUGCCCUUUAAUGGUAGAAUUGUAGGGCUUCAUUAUAUACUCUAAAAUGGAUUUAUUGGAUCCUAUGAUGCUUAAUAGAUAUUGUUGCUUAAAUCAGCCGAUCAAAUUUAAUGAUUUCUUGCCUAGUUAUAACCUAAGCUUCUAAAAUGCAAAUUUUGCUAUUAGUAGGCGUUUGAUCUCGUUUGACCUCCGUAACCUAAUUGAUAGAGUAAACGAACACGUUGGCGAAGACGGUUCGGCGAUUCGUCGAGCGGUGCGAAGUUAUUAAAGAAGGACGUUUAGGCUUCAUAUUUCCGCCUGGAGGGCCGAGGCGACGUCGUAAAUCAUGGAAUCGGAUUUGAGGCACGUAAAACAAAACGGAAGACCCUUUUGCCCGAGGCCUACGAUUCGAUGGCGGGUUGAGUGCGCAAUUGCAAGUUCGGACGGAACACCGAGAUGCCGCGGGAGGCCGAUUGCAAGCUAUCGACAAAGCAAUCGGAAUGCCACUACAGGUGGGUAAUGUGCUUACCGAAGCCGGACGUAGGUCGCCUUCAUGUCGAGAAAAUAUGAUUUACCUAGUUAUGAUUAAUGGUGUUAAAUGGCUAUUAUGAUGCAUAUAAUGUAAUUGCUAGAUGUUGCAUAUAAUGUAAAUGCAUGAUGACAUGAGGCAUAUAUUAUAUGAUGUUGACAUAUCAUGAGAGGCUAGUUAACAUAUAUAUACAUGAUAGGGUAUUGGAUAGCUGCAUUUCUGUUCUUGCAUGAUCCUUAGUAGUGUAGCAACAUGAGUUGAUAUUUGAGUCAGGAUGCAUGAGAAUAGAGGAAUGGUGACCUAGAACCCUUUAGAGAUAAGUUAAAUAAUAACUUAAUCUUGCACUGUUGAAUAUGAUGAUAUAUGACUAAAUAGUCGAGGUAUUACAUUGUGACGAGUGGGAUACAACCAAGUAAACAACUUGACGAGUGCCAUUAGAACUUAGUGUUAAAAGAACACCUGUGCAUGAUGGUCCUAGUGACAAGAUAUUCUCGUUGGACACAGAACUGAUCAUACUCAUUGUCUGUUCCCAGCUUGUGAUGGUCGCUCCACACAAGUAGUGCGCUCCGGAGUUCGUCACGUGGGAUAGCCUAUUUGGGGUCCCGUGGGAUAGGGAUAGCCUAUUUGGGGUCCCGAGGGAUAGCCUAUGUGGGGUCCCGCAGACGGUCUCGGAUUCGUAGUUUGAGUCACGAGGGAUGGCCUAUGUGGGGUCCCGAUGACGGCUCCCUACGAAUCGAGAUGGCUCGCCAGUAGAUUGGGUAAUGUACUCACGAGAAUUCUACAAAUUAGGCAUGAGCGAUAGUCGAGUCCUAGUAGAGUGGACAUUAGGCUGAGGUGCAAGUGAGACGUCCUUCGCCUCGAGCCUGGCUUGUGCGGUACUCCGCAGACGAUUGACUCAAGAUUGAGUUGGGCGAUUAGCUUUGUAAAGGUAGAUGAAACUUUAUGACAAAAGCGGUAAAGGACAGAAAACCUUAAAUGCCAAUUGGAUGAAAGUAGUAAUCGAUUGAAUUUCUAGUUGGUUGUAUAGCUGUAUUAUUGCAUGAUCUUCAUAUUGCAUAUCGCGAGGCAAUGCAUGGUAUUGUGAGUUGCAUAAUCUUAUUAUCAUAUCUAUCUGUUUAUUGAACUAACUUGCAGUGUCACGCCCCGAGCCCGAUCCCUUUUGGCCGGUUCGAGAGCGUCAAACAGACGCCGAACGGACAGAGCUUCCCCUGUCCGCCCAAGGCUCAACACAAGUAUCAAUAGAGUACAAUUUGCAUAAGCGGAAGCAUACACGAUGGCUAGCGCGAGGGCAAGCAAUAGCCAAGGCGAAAGAAUUAACAAUUCAAUAUACAAGUAAUAUGACUAAAUUUAAAUCACAUAUAUGCAUCCAACUAUAAUCGAGUUGUUCACAUUCUUGCAUUAUUUCUUUUUACAUCUCAUUUCACCCAAAAUAUAACUUUUGACAUUUAAAAUCAAGAUUCUUUACAUCAUUCAUUAAAGCAAGUUCGUGAUACUAAAAUCAUCAAAUACAAAAGAUGAUAGUAAAGGGUAUGCAACUACAAAAUGAUAAGCAUCUCGGGCGGUCUCUAGUUAGGGCGCGAUGCCCUUGCCCCGAUCGUCUACCAUCUCGCUGGGUCCCGGCACUGUGAAAUAGGGGUGUGAGAACUACAAUAAAGUUCCCAGUGGGUUCGGCAACCAACCACGCCGACUAUCCCACUAGGUCUAAUCAGGCAUAAUAAAAUGAAAGGAAGUAAGUAACCAACUAACAGAUGCAACUAAUAUGCCUGAACGAUAUAAAAUGAUAUGCACAAUGUAAAGCUCAUGAUGAAUGCAAGGUCACAGUGUCAAUACCCAAUCUCUUGGCUAACCCGUAGGUUUCGCCCUCAACAAACUCACCAACUCAAAAUCCCAAUGAUCGGGGAGAUACUCGCUACACCCGAUGGGACCGCCCUCUGGGAAGAUACUCUCUACACCCAGUGAUGUCGACUCCGGAGCACAUCACCCGAGGGGGAGCUACCACAACCUCGAGCAAGGACUAAAGUGAGUACGAUCAAUGUAACAUACCAGAUUUUAAAUAUAAAAGAGAAAAAUAAAUAAAAAUAGUAUGAAAUACUAUUUUAUUGGAUUUAAAGAAGUGAAAUAUCGGUUGGGAACGACCUGUGCUGAAAUCGGAGCGAAAACAGAAGAUUUAGAAUUUUCUGUUGGAAACGGGACUGAUAAAUUAGCAGAAAAUGCACAGUCUCAGAAAAUUAUGAAAAUUAGCGGGGAUGUCAGAAAUAUUUUUAUGAGGCUAGAUUUAAAGUUUCAUAUUUUUCUGACACCCGUAGAGUGAGAAAUAAAAUCCGAAAGCUAUCUGAUAAAGAUUGCAGUUCGGCACAGUUUUCGGUGACCAAACGGAGUCGAAACUGAAAACUUAAGAUAUAUUCUUGCUCAGUACGUUAAACUGAGCCUGCCUGUCAAAUUUGAGCGAAAACGGACAUCCGGAAGGGCUCCAACGAAAUUUAUCAGAUUUCAGGCUGCCCGUAGUGAAUAGUGUGUAGUUGAGGGGCAAAAUGGUAAAAUGGGAUUAAAUCCCUUUUGCUUCUUCUUCCUCCCAGCCGUAGCAGCCCAAACCGCACACACACACACGCGCAUGGAAGGGAAGAGAGAAGCCUCUCUUUCUCUCUCUAAAUCUCUCCCAAAAAGAAUGGAUUUGGUGGAGAUUGAAGCUUGGAGGUGGAUCGCCUUCGUCUUCUUCAUCUUCUCCAUGGUUUGGAGCUCAUUUUGAGGUGAGCUUCUUGAGCCCUUUAAUGGUAGAUCUUUAAUGCUUGGUUUAAAUACCUUAUAAAUGGAUUUAGAGGAGUCCUAGCAUGCUAUCUAGAUGAUUAAUGCUUGAAUCAUGGAUCAAUUUAGUGAUUUCUUGCAUAGUUGUAACCUAGGGCUCCAAAAUGCAAACUUUCAAAAUAUGAGGGUUUGAUCUCAUUUGACCCUUCGUAAACCUAAUUGCUAGGUAACGAAACGCGUUGGCGAAGACGGUUCGGCAAUCCGACGAGCCGUUACAAAGUUAUUAAAGAAAUAGACGUUUAGGCUUCGGGUCCGCCGGGAGGGCCGAGGCGACGUCGUAAAAUCAUGGAAAUGGAUUUGAGGCAUCGUGGCACAUAACCGAAGACCUAUAAUUUUCGGGGCUGCGAAGCGGAGCACGGUUGAGGCGCAGUUGCAGUAUCGGGCCGUGCCGGAUACGGGUGCCGCGGGAGGCCGAUUGCAAGUGUCGACAAGCAAUCGGAACGCGAAUUAAGGUGGGUUGUGUUUACCGAAGCGACUAGGUCGCCUUUAUGUCUAAGAAACUAAGAAUCCAUAUUGAUGCAUAUAAAUGUAAAUGAAGCAUGUAAAUGAUGCAUGUAACUAAAUAAUGCAUGUUGAUAGUAUGAUGUAAAUGCUAAAUAGAAUGCAUUAUGAGCAAGUUACAUAAUGCUAAAUAAUGUAAUGUAGAAAUGCUAGAAUGCAUUAUGAGCAAGUUACAUAAUGCUAAAUAAUGUAAUGUAGAAAUGCUAGAAUGCAUAAUGAGCAAGUUAUAUGAUGCAUGUUUAUAGUACGAUGUAAAUGCUAAGUAGAUGCAUAUAAAUGAUAUAUGAGAUUAUAAACGCAUGAUUAGCAUUAUGAGAUCAUAGAUGCAUGCUUAGCAUUGUGAGAUUAUAUAUGCAUAUGAACUUGGCUGAUAACUCUAGCUUGAAUAGAGAGAUAACAUUGAAAAAUGAGAAUUGAUGACUCUAGAAUGAGUAGAAUGCUUAAUUGGACAAUUAGUAUGUGAAUUAGAUCGAGUGGCAUCUAACUUAGUGUUAAGGAACAUAGGUCGUGAGUAGACCUAUAAUCAAAUAGAUCGAGUGGCAUCUAACCUAGUGUUAUUAAACAUAGGUCGUGAAAUGAAAAGUACUUAACCUAGAGUCAAGUGAACCAAGGUUAGAAAGAAUAAUGAUCCUAGUGUAAUAAACCUAGGUUAAGAAUGUGAAAGCAAUAAAUCUAAUGGGUGAACUUAGGUUGAGUAAAGGCUUAGACCUAGAGAGGUCAGUUCCAUAGGGUUAAGACCAACCCCUAUGUGAUCUGAAAUGGAUUCCGGAAUCCCAAGGCUAAAAGGAUACACCCAAAGUGGUGUCGGGUGUGUGCGAUGAUUGCGCCGCCCAAGGGCUAAAGAACCUUUGUCGUGGCGUGUGCGACGAUUUCGCCGCCGGAUGGUUAGCCAGUUUGUGGAUCCUACCGCCUGUUGACUGAACCACUGUCGUGGUGUUUGUGCGACGAUUUCGCCGCCGGGUGGCUAAGUCAUGGACCUAGGCCGUUGUUGGGUGAGGUGCGAUUCGUCCGCCGCCAGACGGCUAGGACAGGAGUACGGUGAGCUGUUGCCAGCUGAGGUGCAUGUGAGAGUUCCUUCACCUCGAGCUAGACAGUGCGCGGACUAUCCGCGAUUGAUUGACUCAAGACCGAGUCGGGUGGCAUAGAGAACUAAGGUAAGAGAAACCUUAGGAAAGAAUGGCCAGUAGAAAAGUGCGACAAAGUGUAAAGAAUAAAGAAUAAGUAAAGAAUAAAGUUCGGCUAAGGAAUAAGAAUAGCUGAUUAGUAAAGAAAGGUUACAAGUAAAGAAUAGCUAAGAGCUAAAAGUAAUUAAAUGACAAGAGUAAAGAAUGAUUAAGAAUAUAAGUAGCGUUAAAGUAACCUACUUGCAUGAUUACAGGUAUUGCAUAUUGCAUUUCGUGAGGCAUGACAUGUAUUUCAAUUGAAUAUAUAUAUCUGUUGUAUAUUGUUGAACUAACAUGUUGCAGUGCCUCGUUAGACCUGUUGGUUGAGCUGGUUCUCUUGGGUGGCUAAACCCACUGAGGACUAUGGACAAUAGUCUCACCCCCGUGUUGCUGUUUUGGGGGUACAGGUACACACGUGUGCGGCGCGGCGGCGCAAGGCGAGGGCGUAGUUCUGCAGAUAGCGCCCUACCCCAGAGACCAGAGCUAGCAGUACCCCAUCUAUAUAGCUUAGGGGUAAAGGAAAUGAAAAGAAUACAAUGUAUCAAACUUGUAGUAAGUAAAUGUUGUAAUAACUUAGAUUGCAUUUGGAUGAAAAAGAAUGGAAACUGUGAUGUAAAAACUAUGAAAGUGAAUGAAUGUAAUAACUUAGGAUGUGUUUAUGUUGUAUGAUACCUUCCACUUGAAAUCUUGAUUGAUAUCCGUUCCUGGUUGGAACCUUCGUGAAUUGUAUUGAUUGCGAUGCUUUGAAUGUACAGGGGAGACUCUGUCCGUAGUACAAGGGAAACCUUGUCCAUUCGGCGAUGUCGGCGGCGCCGGGACCUUGGCCAAAUAGGCGGGUGGUCGCGGGCUGUGACAGUUGUGGUAUCAGAGCAUAAAGUAGAGAAUGGGAAUGGCUUAGACUGACCUAGGAGACCCUAGGAUAGUAAAACCAUAGAAGAAUAAGGCUCGUGAGAGACGAGGACUCAUGAUUCGUGGCGAAAGGUUAAUGGAUUGGGUUGUGUUGUAAACCUCUAAGACGGAUAUUAGAGGUAGACUCGAGGUGUUGUUUAUUCUCAGCCAAGGAUGUUCAUGUUGGGCGUACGACAACAUGAAACCGAGUGAUGUGAAUAAACACCCUUGCGUGACUUUCGCCUGAUUGGCUUUUGAGCCGGUGUUAGUGGUCUCGUGUUCGACCCAAGUUGGUCGAGAACUAAUCGAGUUGUCGUGUUUCAGGAAGCGAUGGCACCGCGUAGGCGAUCUUCUUCCAGAUCGGCGCGGGAGGGGACAAGUGGUGUUCCCGAGCAAGUCGACGCGAGCGAAGGCGCAGAGCUUCGUGAUCAGUUGGCCACACUCAUUGGAGUGAUGAGGCAACAAGCUGAUGUGGUGCAGAGGCAGCAGGAGGCUGCUAUGCGCCAGGAAGAGCGAAUGGAAAGACUCCAAGAAACGGUGGACCAGCUGGUGGGUGCACCAGCUGCGGCUCGUCGAGAACGGCCGGGAGUCGCGGCGGAGAUGUUCCCGUCGGGGUCGGGCGAUCCGACUCCUGUUAGUUCAGAGGUGGCGGCAGAAAGGGAGCGAGCUUUGGCUGCCCUCAUGGCUUUCAAGAAAUUUGAUCCGCCUACCUUCGAUGGUGAGGAUCCAGAUCCGUGGAUCGUGGAGAUGUGGAUUGAUGCCAUGGAAACGCUCUUCGAGGAUCUGUACACGUUGGAGCGAGACAAGGUAAACCUAGUCGCGCAUUAUCUCAAACAGUCGACGAAGGUGUAGUGGAAAGGCGUCAAGCAUGAUCGACCGCCUAGUCUCCCUCCUAUGACGUGGGAAGAAUUUCGGGGAUUGGUGUUCUCUGCUUAUUUCCCCGAUAGCGAGAAGCGGAAGCUCAAGGAAAGGUUCCUUAAGCUGCGGCAAGGAAGUCGCACGGUCAGGCAAUAGGAGCGGGAGUUUUUCCGUAUCGUGCAUUGUAUCCCAAACGUGGUGCGAGAUGACAAGGACAGGGCCGACUGCUUCGUGCGUGGACUUCAGCCAGAUCUUUACCAGGCGGUGCUGGUACUCAAGUUGCAGAUUUUUGCUGAAGUCCUGGAUCGGGCCUUGUGGAUAGAACAGGGCAACGCCUUUAUGCGGGAAGAGCGAGAGGCAUAUUACAAGGAAAAGGGGAAAGGACGACCGACAGGUGGAUCCAGUAGUCAGUCAAGUUCCCAACGGACUUUGACGAGUUCGCACUCGCGAUCCCGAGCUCCGGGGACAUACCGCAUUCAGUCCUCGGCGAAAUGUGCUAUUUGUGGAGGCCCUCAUUUCCCACGACAGUGUGAGCAACGUGAAGGCAAGUACUUCAAGUGUGGGCUGCCGGGUCAUAUGUGGGACGAGUGUCCGCGUGGUGACGGCCGGGCCUUGACACUGGCGACGGCCCAUCCCUCUCUGGGACAACCUGCAGGUGUGCCACCUGCGGCAUGGUCGGGAGAGCGGCCGUUGAGGACGAUGCAACCAGAGGGUUCGCGACGAGCGCCAGGUGGGCAUCGGUAAGCGACCCGAGUUGCAGAGCCUGCCGUUGCUGACGUCAUCGUGGCAGGUAUGAGUUAAUUGAGCAAGCAUGUGCUUUUACUAAUCUCAAGUUGGUGCAUAGCAUGCAUUUGUUGUUGGUCGGUUGCUACUAAUUAUAUAUUGCAUAGUAGGGACCGAAUAGUCGGGUAAGUAGACGCCCGUACAUGCUUGCAUUGUGAGAAGUGGCACCUGCUGGUGCAAGUAGAAAGCCAAGUGGUGCUAGCUAAUGGCUAGUGAUGAUUCUCCGGUACGGAAUGAGGCUCGUGGAGAACAUGGUCUAGUAAGUGACUCUCGAAAUAAUGGGUUGAAAAUUGUGAGAGUUGAGCCUUGAUGUUGAGGAUACUCGAAAGACACGGGAGUUGAGAAUGUAUUCCGGUAGAUCGAACAGUGAAGGUAGAAUCACUGUUGAGAGAGUAACCGUAUAGUUGCCGAAUACGGGCACGUAGGCCUAGUAGUACCUCAAGUUGAGGUCGGCGAGUCCUGCUCGUGUAGUCGGUGUGCAUAGGCAAGGUUGCCUGAUGCUAGAUUUCGUGGAACGCUUUAGAGGCGUAGAGCGCUCGAGUGUAGUUACUCGUGAAGUGCGGUUUUGAUUCAGCCGGUUGAGUGAAUUGGCAGUAGCACUUUAGCAGGGCUAAGUGUGAAGCGGGCCAUGGAUCACUCGUAGGGCUGGUGGCUCGCACUAGGUACCUGGGGGCCGAUAGAGUGUGUAGCUCUGUAGAGCAUGUCGUUUAGGACGACGACGACGAGUGGUGCUUGAGGAUGACCCGUGCCUGGACCGUUUGUGAACUGUGUAGCCUGGGCCCAUUGGGCAGGCGCAGUCAGCUGUGAGAGACAGCGGCCCGAUACCUACUGGUAGGGCAUAGUGUUGGUCAGGACGGUAGUCCGAGCUUGGACAUAAGUACGUGGAAUGCCACGCGAUAGAUCGUGAGAUUGAUGGCACACCAAGUGUGUAGUGACCCAACCCGAGGACUUGACGUGGUCUAGGAUCUUGGUUGCACCUGGUUGGAGUGUGUGUGAAUUCUCCAAUGAGAAUUUCGCCCAAUGAUGAUUGGAUCUACGAUGCGGGCAAGAGACGCUAUGCGUAGUUGUGACAGGUAUAGGCGGUAGGCCUACGUAAUGAUUAUGAUCGUUGGUCCGCCUGUGAAAACCGAUGAUCAGUGCGGCAAGCAACUCUGUUAGUGAGUUGGGCUUGGAUUCACGAACGGAGGGUUCGUGUGAUGUUGAACGUGGCUUGUGGUAGUAAAGGAUAAAGAGAAAAGUAAAGUGUUCUCUAGGAGACACUUGAAUAAGAAAUAGCCACGUGAGGGUUGGUGUAAGGAAGUGAAUUCUCGAAAUGCGAGAGUUGGACUUCGCUCAAAAUCGACAAAUUGUCGAGUGGUUGUGCUUCGGAAAUGCCGAAGAGGUCAAAUACACCAAAGGUGCAUUGCAACGGAUCUGCGAGAGCAAGUGUGCAAAAAUCUGCACUUGGCAGAUUUGCUCUCGGGGACCGAUCCCUGUCAAGGAAGGACCGGUCCCCCGUAGCUGGUUGGUGCGAGGUUGCGUGAUGCAACCGGUCCCUUGGCCAGAGGGACCGGUCCCCCGUAUGCGAAACCGGCGAGAAGAGGAAAUUGGCUAAGUCCUGCGAGAGCAAGCUCUCGGGGACCGGUCUCUAGUGGACAGACCGGUCUCCGGGGGACCGGUCCUCCAGGGACAGACCGGUUCCCGUAAGUGUGUUCAGGCUGAAGGCUCUCGGGGACCGGUCCCUGGCAGGGAGAGACCGGUCCCUCUACACAUAAAAUUUUCCAGGCAGGCUGGGUCAUGUUGGAGGAGUUGGAAUUGUUUGAGUUUCGAGGACGAAACUCUUAUAAGGAGGGGAGAAUGUAACAUACCGAAUUUUAAAUAUAAAAGAGAAAAAUAAAUAAAAAUAGUAUGAGAUACUAUUUUAUUGGAUUUAGAGAAGUGAAAUAUCGGUUGGGAACGACCUGUGCUGAAAUCGGAGCGAAAACAGAAGAUUUAGAAUUUUCUGUUGGAAACGGGACUGAUAAAUUAGCAGAAAAUGCACAGUCUCAGAAAAUUAUAAAAAAUUAGAGGAUAAGUCAGAAAUAUUUUUAUGAGGCUAGAUUUGAAGUUUCAUAUUUUUCUGACGCCCGUAGAGAGAGAAAUAGCAUCCGAAAGCUAUCUGAUAAAGAUUGCAGUUCGGUACAGUUUUCAGUGACCAAACGGGGUCGAAACUGAAAUAUUAAAAUUUCUUUGGACUUAUUAAGUAAAACCGAGCAUGCCUGUCAAAUUUGAGCUCAAACGGACAUUCAGAAGGGCUCCGGCGAAAAAUAAACUGCCCGAAGUGAAUAGUGCGUAGUUGAGGGGCAAAAUGGUAAAAAGGGUUUAAAACCCCUUUUCUUCUUCUCCUCCCAACCGUGGCUGCCCCAACCGCACACACCACACACGCAUACACAAGAACACACACACGCAUGGAAAGGAAAGGAGAGAAAUCCCUUUCUCUCUCUAAAUCUCUCCCAAAAUGGAUGGAUUUGGUGGAGAUUGAAGCUUGGAGGUGGAUCGCCUUCGUCUUCUUCAUCUUCUCCAUGGUUUGGAGCUCAUUUUGAGGUGAGCUUCUUGAGCCCUUUAAUGGUAGAUCUUUAAUGCUUGGUUUAAAUACCUUAUAAAUGGAUUUAGAGGAGUCCUAGCAUGCUAUCUAGAUGAUUAAUGCUUGAAUCAUGGAUCAAUUUAGUGAUUUCUUGCAUAGUUGUAACCUAGGGCUCCAAAAUGCAAACUUUCAAAAUAUGAGGGUUUGAUCUCAUUUGACCCUUCGUAAACCUAAUUGCUAGGUAACGAAACGCGUUGGCGAAGACGGUUCGGCAAUCCGACGAGCCGUUACAAAGUUAUUAAAGAAAUGGACGUUUAGGCUUCGGGUCCGCCGGGAGGGCCGAGGCGACGUCGUAAAAUCAUGGAAAUGGAUUUGAGGCAUCGUGGCACAUAACCGAAGACCUAUAAUUUUCGGGGCUGCGAAGCGGAGCACGGUUGAGGCGCAGUUGCAGUAUCGGGCCGUGCCGGAUACGGGUGCCGCGGGAGGCCGAUUGCAAGUGUCGACAAGCAAUCGGAACGCGAAUUAAGGUGGGUUGUGUUUACCGAAGCGACUAGGUCGCCUUUAUGUCUAAGAAACUAAGAAUCCAUGUUGAUGCAUAUAAAUGUAAAUGAAGCAUGUAAAUGAUGCAUGUAGCUAAAUAAUGCAUGUUGAUAGUAUGAUGUAAAUGCUAAAUAGAAUGCAUUAUGAGCAAGUUACAUAAUGCUAAAUAAUGUAAUGUAGAAAUGCUAGAAUGCAUUAUGAGCAAGUUACAUAAUGCUAAAUAAUGUAAUGUAGAAAUGCUAGAAUGCAUAAUGAGCAAGUUAUAUGAUGCAUGUUUAUAGUAUGAUGUAAAUGCUAAGUAGAUGCAUAUAAAUGAUAUAUGAGAUUAUAAACGCAUGAUUAGCAUUAUGAGAUCAUAGAUGCAUGCUUAGCAUUGUGAGAUUAUAUAUGCAUAUGAACUUGGUUGAUAACUCUAGCUUGAUUAGAGAGAUAACAUUGGAAAAUGAGAAUUGAUAACUCUAGAAUGAGUAGAAUGCUUAAUUGGACAAUUAGUAUGUGAAUUAGAUCGAGUGGCAUCUAACUUAGUGUUAAGGAACAUAGGUCGUGAGUAGACCUAGAAUCAAAUAGAUCGAGUGGCAUCUAACCUAGUGUUAAUAAACAUAGGUCGUGAAAUGAAAAGUACUUAACCUAGAGUCAAGUGAACCUAGGUUGGAAAGAAUAAUGAUCCUAGUGUAAUAAACCUAGGUUAAGAAUGUGAAAGCAAUAAACCUAAUGGGUGAACUUAGGUUGAGUAAAGGCUUAGACCUAGAGAGGUCAGUUCCAUAGGGUUAAGACCAACCCCUAUGUGAUGUGAAAUGGAUUCCGGAAUCCCAAGGCUAAAAGGAUACACCCAAAGUGGUGUCGGGUGUGUGCGACGAUUUCGCCGCCCAAGGGCUAAAGAACCAUUGUCGUGGCGUGUGCGACGAUUUCGCCGCCGGAUGGUUAGCCAGUUUGUGGAUCCUACCGCCUGUUGACUGAACCACUGUCGUGGCGUUUGUGCGACGAUUUCGCCGCCGGGUGGCUAAGUCAUGGACCUAGGCCGUUGUUGGGUGAGGUGCGAUUCGUUCGCCGCCAGACGGCUAGGACAGGAGUACGGUGAGCUGUUGCCAGCUGAGGUGCAUGUGAGAGUUCCUUCACCUCGAGCUAGACAGUGCGCGGACUAUCCGCGAUUGAUUGACUGAAGACCGAGUCGGGUGGCAUAGAGAACUAAGGUAAGAGAAACCUUAGGAAAGAAUGGCCAGUAGAAAAGUGCGACAAAGUGUUAAGAAUAAAGAAUAAGUAAAGAAUAAAGAUCGGCUAAGGAAUAAGAAUAGCUGAUUAGUAAAGAAAGGUUACAAGUAAAGAAUAGCUAAGAGCUAAAAGUAAACAUUAAAUGACAAGAGUAAAGAAUGAUUAAGAAUAUAAGUAGCGUUAAAGUAACCUACUUGCAUGAUUACAGGUAUUGCAUAUUGCAUUUCGUGAGGCAUGACAUGUAUUUCAAUUGAAUAUAUAUAUCUGUUGUAUAUUGUUGAACUAACAUGUUGCAGUGCCUCGUUAGACCUGUUGGUUGAGCUGGUUCUCUUGGGUGGCUAAACCCACUGAGGACUAUGGACAAUAGUCUCACCCCCGUGUUGCUGUUUUGGGGGUACAGGUACACACGUGUGCGGCGCGGCGGCGCAAGGCGAGGGCGUAGUUCUGCAGAUAGCGCCCUACCCCAGAGACCAGAGCUAGCAGUACCCCAUCUAUAUAGCUUAGGGGUAAAGGAAAUGAAAAGAAUACAAUGUAUCAAACUUGUAGUAAGUAAAUGUUGUAAUAACUUAGAUUGCAUUUGGAUGAAAAAGAAUGGAAACUGUGAUGUAAAAACUAUGAAAGUGAAUGAAUGUAAUAACUUAGGAUGUGUUUAUGUUGUAUGAUACCUUCCACUUGCAAUCUUGAUUGAUAUCUGUUCCUGGUUGGAACCUUCGUGAAUUGUAUUGAUUGCGAUGCUUUGAAUGUACAGGGGAGACUCUGUCCGUAGUACAAGGGAAACCUUGUCCAUUCGGCGAUGUCGGCGGCGCCGGGACCUUGGCCAAAUAGGCGGGUGGUCGCGGGCUGUGACAAUCAAUCCUACAGUUGAGGAUUCCAAGUUCAAUCCAUUCCUUAACUUUAAGGAAGACUAUGCUCAAUUGACCCUUAGUACUAAGGUUGAAUGUCAUAAUAUCUCAAUCGUUCUUGUUCUUGCAUUCUUUACUACCACUAAUGUCAUAUACACUAUCAAGUUCUUGAACUCAUGCCACACUUGUUCUCUAAAUGCUAGAUUUUUGUCCUCAUGCCAAAUGCCACACUUGUUUACUAAGGAUUCUAGACUCGUCGAUGUCAUUUGCUAGAUCUAUGUCAAAGUGUCACUUUUCGUUUACUAACCCUUCUAGGUUCUUGUCACAAUCAUGCAUACAUAGGGAUCAUCAUUCUCACACCCUUACAAAUAUUUAACAUGCAUUUGAAUUUACAUUAAACUAUAACAAAACUCACAAUUGACCCUAUUAUGCAAGAUGCUCAAAAAUGCACAUAUACUCAAAAUAUAACAAUUAGACAUAGAAAGACUUCCGAUGUCCUUGGAAUGCACCACCUACCUUAGAUGGUUACAAGGAUACUUCGGUGAAUUUCUUGGAAUUUUUUUGAAACCCUAAUCCGCGUGCUGCGGCUAUCUGUACGGAAAACGAUGUUUUUGUCAAUAACUUUGCAUACACUCGUCGGAUUGUCGAACCGAGCGUUCCAACGCGUUUAAAAUACCCUCAAUUAGGUUUCUACAUGAUCAAAAUAUAUCAAAACCUAACUUGGGCAAAACCCCUCUUUGGGAUGCCCUAACAUGCAAUUUUUGUAUUUUUCCUAGAUUGAUCUCAUUACUAAGAAAAAGAAAGCUUAGAAUCACUUGGGAAGCUUUCUAACAAGGUUUCUAAACUUUUAGAACCAUCCCUAGAGCAUCUACUUUGAGCCCUAGUGAUCCACCAUGAGAGGGGUCCAAGAAAUCCAUGUUUUUCAUGGAGUCAUGGUUCUUAGAGGAUUUCCUCACUUGUAGAGAGAUCAAGACCCAAAAAUCUAAGGUCUAAACCCAAACCCUAAACCCAUUUUUGCAUAAGGACUCACUUUUGCCCAAGCUCCAUCAAAGCCUACUUGUUGGAGAGCUUCUAGGAACACCAAAGCCACCAAAAUCCAUUUCUCCAAGCUCUUCUCCACCUUCUCCAAGCUCUAGGGCUUGCUUUCUAGAGAGAGAAAGAGAGGAAAAUGAGAGAGGGGGAUGUGUGUGGCUGUGGGAGGGAGAGAGAGAGGUGUUGGGGAGUUAACAUGUUGCUACAAUUGCAACUAGGCCCUCCAUUUCUUUUUAUUUGCGUCAGACCUCACUGGGCUGUCUGGGGCCUCUUGUACCGGUACAAGGAUUCUUGUACGGGUACAAGGCCAAACAGUGAGCCAAACCCGAGAGCUGCCUCUUGGGUUCGCAGGGUCUGUACCGGUACAAGGGGUCUUGUACCGGUACAAGGCCUGGACUGCACCAACCCGAGAGCUGCCUCUCGGGUUCGCAGGGUCUGUACCGGUACAAGGGGUCUUGUACCGGUACAAGGCCUGGACUGCACCAAUCCGAGAGCUACUCAGCUCGGAUUGCGCUGGUUGUACCGGUACAACUAUCACCUUGUACCGGUACAACAGCUCCAGAAUGUUGUUUUAGGCUUCGAUUCGACUCUACCUCGCGUCGGUCGAUGCUAAAACCAUUCUAAGUCUUCCCAAACUCAUUUUUAGCCCUUCCAACAUUAUUGGAAUGCAAGAGGAACUUGUCUAUCGUUUUCUUUCGAUGCUUUAACCAAUUUGGUCAAAGUUCAAUUAUCGUUUUCGGGUUUCGAUAUGUUACAUGCAGCUUGCCUCCUUCGGACCUGUCGAUCGAGCUUUUCCCUUGAGCGGCCGUACCCACUGGGAACUAUGGAGUUAGUUCUCACCCCACGUUGCUUUUGGGGUGUUACAGGUUCACACGUGAGCGGCGCGGCCACGCGAGGCGAGGGCGUAGCUCCGUAGAUAGAGCCCUACCACCGUGACCAGAGAUAGCAGUACCCAAGUCAGCCAAGCUAGGGGUUGUAGAAAAUGAAAGCAAAAUGAUCAAACUUGUAAUAAUCUUGUGAUGAUUGAUUGUAUUCGGAAGUUUAAAUGUAUUUGAAAGGAAAAGAAAUGUAAAUAAUAUCAAGUGAAUGAAUGUAAUAACUUAGGAUGUGUUUAUGUUGUUUGAUACCUUCCUUAUGCAAUCGUUGUAUGUUGAAUACUGUUCUUGGUUGGAACCUGUUGUAAUUGUAUUGAUUGCGACGCCUAGGACGUACAGGAAAAACUCUGUCCGUUCGGCGGUCUGUCGGCGUGCCGAACCUGACCAAAUAGGCGGGGCUCGGGGCGUGACAACACUGGACCUUUGUAAAUUGUGAGGUUCGAGUGUUUGAUUUGUAUUCUGAGCUUUUCCACAUUUUUUGGAAGGUCGUAGAUAGUGUUUCGACCUAUGGCUCGCAUCUCGAGAAUCGAGAUUUUAAACUUAGCGCUAAGGUCUCCAAAGAGAAGGACUUAGGCUGCUCUCGGGUUGGUUUCUGCAGAGUGUGGUACCGGUACAGCAUUGAGCUUGUACCUGAAUGAGGGGUGGUACCGGUACAACAUCGGGUUUGUACCGGUAUCAGGCAUCGUUUUCUGCCAACCCGAGGCUCGGGUUUGCGUGCACAGUGUUUGAUACCGGUACUCUUGCCCGAUGGUACCAGUACGCAGUGCAGUCCGCAAACUGCUUGUUUUGGGAGGGUGUUUUUACAAUUAUAGCAUCUCUAUAUAACACCCCACGCCCCUUAGGUGUUUCCCUGAGCUUGGAAACACAGGAGGAAGGGAGGAAAGCCCUCCACUUCCACCCUUUGGUUUUUUUUGAUUUAUGUUGGAAUUUUUCAGAUUUAAUCCUCUCUUUUUGUCCCUUUUUGCUUGUUGGUAGUAUUUCCACCAUGGUUGAAGGCUUGGAGCUUGGAGAAAAGCUUGUUGGAGGAGAGAUCUUCAACCCUAGUUGAUUUCAAGCCUUAUUUGGAGCUUCUCUUGAGGUUAGUAAUAUAUUUCUUGCUUUAGAUUCAUGUUUUAAUUGAUUUCUUGAGAUGAAACCCUAGAAUGUGAAACCUAGGGUUUAUUUUGGGGGUUUUUAAUUUGUAGCUCUUGGGGCUCAAUUGAUAGGUGUAGAACAUCUCGUUGGGAUAGAUUUGAAGGGCUCUAGCAUCCAUUUGAAAUUUGAGAGGGAUUUUCUAAACAUUAGGUGAGUUUUGCCUUAUUGUUGGAUUUGUUAAAGAUGAACACUUUGGGUGUUCGGUUAUUUUGUUUAACCCUCUUAGAAUUCUCUUUAGGGAGCUAAGAGACUUAUGGACAACUUCUUUUGUGUAAACGAAAGGGUUGCAAGAAGCCUCGGUGAGUUUGACCUCACCAAAAUGAGAAAAUCUCACCUAUGUCUUUUUAAAUAUUAUAAAAUAGAAAAUCAUGCAUAUUCAUGCUAGAUAAGGCAUAAAUGAAUUUUAGAAUGCUUGAAAUACACAUAUUAUAUACAAUGCAAAUUUGUACCUCUAUGUAGUAGAGAGUUAUAUAUGUCGGAAUCUUGCAUAUAAAUAGCAUUCUUAUAUGUGGCUUGGGAUCAUGUUUCAUGUAGUGAAAAUGACAAGUAUAAUAUGCCCUUGGACAUAGAUCUUAUAUUGGACAUAGGAGAAAACAUAAUGCCAUAAAGAGGCAUUAGACUAUAGUGAUGUGUGAAUUAGUAAGCUAAUGUCAUAAAGUGGCAUUAGGCUUAGAAUGUACUUGGACAUAGUAAGCUAAUGUCAUAAAGUGACAUUGGGCUUAAAAUGUGAUUGGACUUAGUAUGUUAAUGUCAUAAAGUGACAUUGAACUUAAUAUAUAGUUAAACCUUACCUUGGAACAUUAAACUAGACCGUUGGGGUUGCUAAUGAUUAUUACCAUGUUAGAGACAUGAUGACCGGGUUCUUGAGAUGACGACUAUGCUUGCUUACUAUUUGUGCUCAUUCGCACAUACUUGUGAGGGUCGCUCCCUACAAGCCGGCACUCCGGAGUUAGCCUACACGACAUAUACUCGCUUGUGCGGUAUUGAGAAGCCUACGGGGCCGGGUAGGAUAGACUCAUUCCUAGAGUGGGAAUAUUGAGCUACCACUGGCAUUUAGGCGGCACAAGCCGGACUACACUUGUAUAGGUCCUAAAAUGAGAUUGGAUAAUGACAUUAAACCAUAAUAUGACAAUCACUACUAGAUAGUUGUAGUAGUUGAAUUUCUUGAACAUGCUUGUGGCAUAGUAUUAAACACUUGGUUGAUAUACUUGGACAUAUAGUAUACUUGAUAGGGUUGCUUGUUGCAUUAUAGUAUACUUGUAUGACAUGUUUAAAGCACACUAGUAUAUAUUCUAAUGAUAUACUCAUCCAUGUUAGGCUAGCUAAUGCAAUUGUGGAACUUCAUGUUAUGUAAUGGCAUAGUAGCUAACAAAUUUAAUUCAUGUUUUAUUAUUCAUACUAUCGCUUCCAAUUAAGUGUUAGAAUUAUCUACUUUGCUUUUGGGCCUAGUGGUGCAUUUGCUAAGGUCAGUAAUUGUCUACUGGGAACUAUUAAUUAUAGUUCUCACGCCCCCUGUUUGUUAUUUUCUUUCAGAGCCUUCCACCUCGAGAGAGGCUCGGGAUCACGGGAAAGGGAUCGCCUCGAGCUAGUUAGCGAGAGAUUGUGCGAUAGGUGGUCCACCUCUCUUUUUAUUUCAUUUUGGAGAGGUUGAGAGAUCUAUACCAUUUUGUAGAGACCACCAUUUUGGAUAUUAUAGCACUUGUAUUUGAGACUUUUGAUGGAUUACUCUAUGUCUUAUCUUACUGGGUUUCCACCCUUCAUGAGCUUUGUAGUGAAGAAUAUUGAUUAAAAAUGUGGAUUUGCAAGCUAGCUAAAUACUAAUUGGUCAUAGUCACAAUUCUCCAAAUGUUGGUGGAUUUGAUUAGUUGAAUAAGAAGUUAAUUAAAAAUAAAAAAAAACUAAUUGGUAGAAGCUCUUUACGACAACAUCAUUCCUUUUCCAUUCAUUGUUUCAGGAGGGUAUAUUUAGGGUUGUAGCCGCAAUACUUCAUAUAGGAAAUAUCGACUUUUCAAAGGGGACAUAUAUAAAUAGAUUCAUCUGUAAUAAAGGAUGAGAAAGCAAGGUUCCAUUUGAACACAGCAGCAGAACUUCUAAUGUAUGUCGAUUUCAUUCCAGCACCAUAGGCCAUUUUUUUUCUAUAAUUUCCGAAAGCUAGAUGUUUGUAGUUUAUUAUUCAUGUAAUUCAUCAGCUAAUGUUUUUGCAGGUGUGAUAGCGAGAAACUAGAGAAAGCACUGAUAACACGUGUGAUAGUAACACCAGAAGGAGUUAUUACUAGAACGCUUGACCCUGCUUCUGCAAUUGUUAGCAGGUAUGGAUUAGCAAAAACAAUAUACUCCCGGUUGUUUGAUUGGUAAUGUGUUUGAUUAUAUAAGAUUAGUUCCUACACAAAUUAAAGAGUAUUUCGUUAUUGAUGCAAAGCAAGAAAUUUUAUUCCUCUUUUGUUAGAAACUGACUAUUAAUGAAUCCUAUGGAUGAAAACAGUGACUGGAAAAGCUAUAGGUAUUUAUUGCAAUUAAGUUUAGUGAUAUCUGUUAUUUGUAUUUAUUACACUAAAAAGCCCAGUGGUUAGGCAACAAUUAUAUAAAUAGAUAAAAAAGUGAUUAAUAUAAACAAACAGAGCAUAUGCAUGAAUAUCCAAAGCUAAUUAAAAAUGAAAAAAAAAAUCAAAAAAAUGAUCAAAACUUACCAAAAGAAAGUAGUGAGAAAGAAGGAAAGUGGACGAACGAUUCCUCCCAAGCGGCGAUCGUGUGCGGCUCGGAGAAGGUCCUCCUAAGCGGCGAUCGCGUGUGACACGACGAAGGUCCUCUGUAAGGUACCGGACUUCUAAAAUUAUGAAGUUACGGUGUACAUUUAAAUAGUUCCGGUGAGGUUGCGGUGGAAUGUAACAUACCGGAUUUUAAAUAUAAAAGAGAAAAAUAAAUAAAAAUAGUAUGAGAUACUAUUUUGUUGGAUUUAGAGAAGUGAAAUAUCGGUUGGGAACGACCUGUGCUGAAAUCGGAGCGAAAACAGAAGAUUUAGAAUUUUCUGUUGGAAACGGGACUGAUAAAUUAGCAGAAAAUGUACAGUCUCAGAAAAUUAUAAAAAUUGGCGGGGAUGUUAGAAAUAUUUGUAUGAGGCUAGAUUUAAAGUUUCAUAUUUUUCUGACACCCGUAGAGUGAGAAAUAAAAUCCGAAAGUUAUCUGAUAAAGAUUACAGUUCGGCACAGCUUUCGGUGACCAAACGGGGUCGAAACUGAAAUAUUAAAAUUUCUUUGGACUCUUUAAGUAAAACCGAAUAUGACUGUCAGAUUUGAGCUCAAACGGAUAUUCAAGGAGCUGCGAAAGAUAUCAGAUUUGGAACUCUGAUUUGAUGUGAAUGUUUAUGUAUAUUGACAGGUUGUUGACUAUAAGUAAGAAGGUACUAGCUUCUUCCUUUCACGCCGGACCAUCCACCCUAACAAGCACACGUUCACAUGGGAAUCGAGCGUCGGUGUAGUGAUGAGAACCAUCCUUUUUCUCUCUCUAAAUAUCGUUCUCAGUCUCUCAUAUAUUUCUGCCCAAAUUGCGGCGGGUGGGUGGAGAUCGAGUUGUGAACUCCUUUUGGAGGCGCCGGAUGAAGCGUUUCGUACGCGCGUUGGAGCGGCGUGUUUUCGUCUUUUGCGGGUUCACUUGGGGUAAGCUUUUGAGGAUUUGCUUUAAUCUUAGCUUUAAAGUGUUCUGUAGCCUCUAAUGAAUCUUUGUUUGGCAUGUUGAUCCAUUUUAUAUUGGAAUUAUUUGGAGGGUUAAUUGUACGUUAGGGCACUCAAAUUGCAACGUUUUUAAAAAUAUGACGGGUUGGAUCUCAUUUUGCUUUCAGUAACUAAUUGUAGUAACGAAAAAGGUUGGCGAAGACGGUUCCGAGUAAUCCGACGAGCGUUACAGAAGUUAUUAAAGAGAAUAGACGUUUAGCUUCGGCGUCUGUGCGGGAGGGCCAAGGCCAGACGUCGUAAAUCAUGAUAAUGGAUUUAAUGGCAUCGUGGCACGUAACGAAGACUAUAAUUUUCGGGGGGUCGCGAAGCGGAAACACGUGGGCGCAGUUGAGUAUCGGGCGGCGGAUACGGGUGGCGAAAGGGCCAAUUUGCAGAGUGCUCACAAGCAAUCGGAACGCGAAUGGAGGUGGGUUGUGCUUACGAAUGCGACUAUGUCGCCUUGUCUUUAGCAUUAUCUCUAUUGAUUGCAUGUGCAUGUAGGACAAGACUAAAUGGUGAUAAUAAUAUGCAAUUAAUGUAAAGGCUAAUGUGAAGAAUGGGCAUGUACAACGAUUGCAGCUGACUAAAAUAUAGCUAAGUAGCGCAAGGGUGAGAAUGUAAUUGCUAGUAAUGUUAAGAGUGAUAUUAAUAAUAAGUUGCAUAGAUAGAAAUGUCAAUGUAUGAUGAGGAAUUAGAUGAGUAUCUCGUAGUAAGCCGAGUGAUGGACAAAUAGGAGUUGCUCAAGGUAUAAUGAGUGGCAUUCACUAGUGGUAAAGAAUCAUAGUGUGAUGUGAACAUAGUUUGGAAAAGAAGAAUGAUCUAUGUGUAAAUAAACUAGGUUUAUAGAAUGUGAAGCAUAAAUAAUGGGUGACUUUAGGGUUGAGGUAAGGGUUAGUAUCCUAGCAGAUAAGUUUCCAUUAGGGUUGAAGACCAACCCUUGUGAUGAUGAAAUGCGAUUCCGGAAUCCCAAGGCUAUAGGAUUACACCAAAGUAGGUUGUUGAGGGUGUGCGACGAUUUCGCGCCAAAGGGCUAAAGAACAUUGUACGUGGCAGUGUGCGUACGAUUUCGCGCCGGAAUGGUUAGCCAGUUGUGGUUAUCUACGCUGUUGACUGAACACUGUCGUCGCGUUUUGCGCGAUUUCAGCCGGCCGUGGUGGCUAAGUCAUGGACUAGGGCCGAUUGUUUGAGAUGAGUGCAUUAGUUCGCCGCCAGACGGCUAGGACAGGAGUACGGUGAGCUGUUGCCAGCUGAGGUACAUGUGAGAGUUCCUUCACCUCGAGCUAGACAGUGUGCUGACUAUCCGCGAUUGAUCGACUCAAGACCGAGUCGGGUGGCAUAGAGAAGUAAGGUAAGAGAAACCUUAGGAAAGAAUGGCCAGUGAAAAAGUGCAACAAAGUGUAAAGAAUAAAGAAUAAGUAAAGAAUAAAGAUCGGCUAAGGAAUAAGAAUAGCUGAUAAAGUAAAGAAAGGUUACAAGUAAAGAAUAGCUAAGAGCUAAAUGUAAACAUUAAAUGAUAAGAGUAGCGUUAAAGUAACCUACUUGCAUGAUUACAGGUAUUGCAUAUUGCAUUUCGUGAGGCAUGAUAUGUAUUUCAAUUAAAUAUAUAUCUGUUGUAUAUUGUUGAACUAACAUGUUGCAGUGCCUCCUCGGACCUAUCGGUC
rnacentral:lncRNA from 1 species